rnacentral:lncRNA from 1 species
UGCGGAUUUUUGCGGAUUUAUAGAAAUAGAUCCAUAUCCAAUCCAUCGAUUUCGGAUUAUCAAAUUUUCAAUCCAAUCCAAUCCAUCAAUCCACGAAUCGGAUUUUUACGGAUCAAACGGAUUGAGCGGAUCGGAUUGUGAACACCCCCGUACGAAGGACCCCUGAUAUUGAUGUCCAUACAUCCGAAUAAAUUUUCUUUAUGAGGAGUCUACGUCAUGAUUUCUACGUCACGAAUUCUCCAAAAUAUGAUGUCUCUCACUCUUAUCUCUCACUCUUAUUUAAGGCAAACCUCAUAGAGGCAAAUACAGAACAUGAAGAAAAUUAAUUUUGUUCCUAGUCCUCACUAUCUAAAAAGAAUUUUCGUUGAAGCUAUAUAUAUAUAUAUAUUGAAUCUUUUGAAAAAAAUUGCUUCCUGAGCAUAUGAUUUCUUGCUGGUUAAUUUUAAAAUAAAAAUUAUUUUGACUAUUAUAUAAAAGUUAAUUUUAAUAUUAUUAAUAGAGAGAUUUUUUAAAUUGUAAAAUCUAUUUAACCCAAAGAUUAUUUAAAAUCUUUUUAAUAUUACAAUUAUAUUAUUAAAAUAAAUAUAAUAAUUUAAAAUUUUAAUAUUAUUUUAAAUGUAAAAAAUAAUUUAAUAUUAUUAGUCUACCAAAUAGAUUUAUAUUAUUUAUAUAAAAUUUGUGUUAGUUAAAAAAAUUUAAAAAUCAAAUUUUUAAUUAAUAUAAUCAAAAGUUAUUGUGGGCAAAAAAAAGUUUUUGUAUCUUUUUUUUAGGAUUUAAAGAGUUUUUUAUAACUAUUUUCCCAAAUCUUAGAAUGUCGUUAUUCUUUUUCUUUUUUUAUCCCAUCUCAGUUUUUUUACAAGUAUUCAAAUAUUAGCACGUGAAAUAUAUUUUAAAAUAUCCAUCAAUUUAUUAUUUCUUAAAGUACCUUUUAUUAAUAAAUAGCAUAAUACACACGAAGGACCAUUGAUAUUGAUGUUCAUACAUCCGAAUCAAUUUUCGAGUCUACGUCAUGAUUUCUACGUCACGAAUUCUCCAAAUUAUGAUGUAUAUCUAUUCUUUCCCCUUUUGGUAAACAUAUCUCACUCUUAUUUAAGGCAAACCUCAUAGAGUCAAUCACAAAACAUGAAGAAAAUUGAUUUUGUUCCUAGUCCUCACUUUCUAAAAAGAAUUUUCGUUGAAGCUAUAUAUAUAUAUAUAUUGAAUCUUUUGAAAAAAAUUGCUUCCUGAGCAUAUGAUUUCUUGCUGGGUUUCUUCAAUUGCUCUUCUUGUUCAGUUGUUAAAGCUUUCCAGUUUCCUCUCUGUCGUUCAAAGAAUAUUUGAUCAUUGAAGUGUCACCUUCGUAGUGUUAAUUUCGGUGAUGGAGUCCGCUGCUCAAGUGAGGGAUGUCGAUGCUUUGUAUGAGCUAAUUCAACAUGAUCGAUAUUUUUUGGACAACUUCGACGAGAAACCUUUUGUCGAUACUCCUUUGCAUGCUGCUCCAAGGGAUGGAAAUGUUGAAUGGUCCAUGGAGAUUAUCAGACUAAAGCCAUCAUUUGCCAGGAAGCUAAACCAAGAUGGCUUCUCUCCGGUGCAUUUAGCUUUGCAAAAUGAUCAAACUCAGUUAGUGCUUCAGCUGAUAGAUAUUGAUCUGGACCUUGUUCGUGUCCAAGGAAGAGAAGGCAUCACUCCUUUGCAUUUCGUGUCUGAAAAAGGAGACAUCCAUCUGCUGAGGGAAUUUUUGUCUGCUUGUCCGAAAUCUCUUGAAGAUGUGACGAAUAAAGGCGAGACUGCUCUUCAUAUUGCUUUGAAAAACGAUAAGGUCGAAGCUUUUGAUCAAGCCUUAACAACAGUACGACCACCGUGGCUUGGCCCUGAAGAAGCUCAACAAUACAAUCAAAGAAUCCUCAACUUGAAGGAUAGGGAUGGCAACACUUUGUUACACAUAGCAACAUCCAAAAGUCAAGUCCAGGCAAGCUCGAAUCCACACACAUAUAUAUAGAAAUUUUUCAAUGAGGUGCAGGCACUUCAUUAUUUUUAAUGCAGACAUGCUAUUAAAUUAUGUGAUUUAAUAGAGUCAAUGUUUAAUUCAUUAUAAAGCCGUGUAUUUUAAUAGCAUGCCUGCAUAUAAGUUAAUAGAGUGUUCGUAUGAGAAAAAAAAAGAGAGAGUAUUCACAUUAGAGAAUAACUAUAUUUAUAUAUAUAGUAUCUAAUUAAUGACCUUAUCUUCAUUUUAACAAAGUAAAGAUAUCACUAAUAAAUUAAAAAAAAAAGUAGUUUAACAAAGUAAGGAUAUCACUAAAAAAAAAAAGCAAUUUUCAAUAUAUUGAAAUAUGUGUUUUUUUUAAUUUUAUUUGCAUUCUUAUUUUAUUAAAAUUUUUUAUUAGGGAAGGACUAUAUCUAUCUGGUCACAAAUAAAAUUCAGUUGAAUGAUGUCUAAAUUGAUGAAUUUGUUUAUCCAAAGCAGAUUGUCAGGUGUUUAUUGAAUUGCAAAGUUGAUACAAAUGCCCGGAAUUCGGAAGGUUUGACACCUUUAGAUAUUUCAUUACUUGAUCAAACUAAAUCAGAAAACCAAGAGAUUGCGGCAAUGCUGCGGGAAGCUGGAGCACUAGAGGCAACUUCACUUCCUAUUACCGACAAGGAUAGACAUUUAUCGAGGUAACAGGAACACUGCUCUUUUACUAAAUUACAGUCCAUUUAUCGAUUAUCUUUUUAAAAACAAUAUGGCAUUUUCAUAUUAUGUACAUCUCAAAAAUUGUUUAAUGUCCUUCAGAAGUAAGGAUCAGAGGCUGAACGAGGCUGCUAAAACAGGAAAUGUUGAUGCCUUGUAUGAAUUAAUAUGGGAGGACGCAUAUCUUUUAGAUCAGAUAGACCAAGUACCAUUCGUGGAUACUCCUUUACAUAUAGCAGCAUCAAUGGGGCACGUCAACUUUGCCCUGGAGAUAAUGAGGUUAAAGCCAUCAUUUGCGAGAAAGCAAAACCAAUAUGGAUUUAGUUCUCUGCAUCUUGCUUUGCAGAAGCAAAACCAAUAUGUACUUGAUCACGAGCAUCUUAAGGAAAAGAAACAGACCCAAAUGGUGCGUCGGCUCAUAGAUGUGGACAGAAAUCUUGUUCGUGUCCAAGGAAGGGAGGGUGUAACGCCUCUACACUAUAUUGCUGAGAAAGGAAAUGUCGAUCUUCUAUGCAAACUUCUAGAGGCUUGCCCUGAGUCCAUCACAGAGGUGACAAUCCGUUAAGAGACUGCUUUGCAUGUUGCUGCAAAAAAUGACCAGUUGGAGGCCGUUGAGUGCAUGCUAGGAUGGCUUCGAUAUGUGGGCAUGGAGGAUAUCCUUAACUGGACGGACGAUGAAGGCAACACUUUAUUGCAUAUCACAAUCUCCAAAAGUCAAAUAAAGACAUGAAAAGUUUUUAAAUUUUACUUCAGUUAGUCCCUAUAUUUUCAUGAUUAUUAAUUGCAUGCAUAUAUAAAUAUAUACUUGCAGUUGGUGAGGCUACUAGUUAAAAGAGCACGUGAUCAAAUAAAUGCCCGGAACUUAGACAAUAAGACACCCUUGGACAUGGUAGAAGAACAUUUGGGAGGGAAACCUGAAUUUAAAGAAGUAACACGCAUGGUGCGCAAAGCUGGCGGUAGAGAAGGGUCCUUCCUUCCUCCUCGUAGGGACGUUGCAUAUUACUUAAAACAAGGUUUAACAUGGCGUCGAAAGGUGCUUUUGCUCUUUUACCGCUAGAUAAAUUUCUUAAAGGAAUAGCUUUUUAUUGCGGUAUGUGUCCUUUGUACAGAGCUCUGCUAUUUAUAUGCAGGGCUAGAUACUUUACAUGGUAAGUGUUUACAUGGCAAGAAUCACCGUUUAAUUAUACAAUAUUUUCAAUCUCCUCAUAUUUACAAUCUCGUUGAUCUCCUUCCUUGAAUACAGAUUCUUGCUUUGUGUCCAAGGUUAUUGCUUGACAGCUUCACACGAUUAUGUGGCAUCUGACUUGGACUCUUUUCUAACUCCCCCCUUCAAGCUUAACUGUCUGUUUGAGACUUUAAGCUUGUCUCUUAAAAAUCUGAAACGAUCACAGCUCAAGGGUUUUGUCAAAACAUCUGCCACUUGUUCCUUUGUCGGUACAUAUCUCACUUCUUGUUCACCAUUUGCAAUUUUUUCUCUGACGAAAUGUACAUCAAUUUCUAUGUGUUUAGUUCGGGCAUGAAAUACUGGAUUGCUGGCAAGGGAUGCUGCACUUGUGUUAUCACACCAGAUUACUGGUCUUUGUUUUGGCUUCAUUCCAAGUUCUCCUAGCAAAGAACAUAUCCACGUGAUUUCAGCACUUGUAUCGGCAAGGGACCUAUAUUCUGAUUCAGUGCUUGAGCGUGCCACCACCUUCUGUUUUUUCGAUCUCCAUGAGACUAGAUUCCCACCAAGGAAGGUGCAGUAACCACCAGUAGACCGUCUGUCAUCUUGAUCACUUGCCUAAUCUGCAUCAGUGAAACACAUCAGUCCUGGUUUUCCUUUUGGUGUGAAGUGUAGGCCAUAAUUUAAGGUUCCUUUCAAGUAUCUGAGAAUUCUCUUACACCCCUCCCAAUGAGUUUGUUUAGGUGCUUCUAAAUAUUGGCUUAGUGUGUUCACUGCAUAUGUUAUUUCAGGCCUUGUUAAGGUAGCAUAUUGUAGGCCUCCAAUUACACUCCUGUACAAGGUAUUGUCACUGAAGGCUUUCCCUCCUUCCUUUCUCAGCUUGGUACUUGUGCUCAUUGGUGUAGGCAAGCUUUUGCAAUUUUCCAUUCCUAUUCGUUGUAGGAGGUCAGUGAUGUAUUUCCCUUGCGAUAGAUGCAUUCCCUCAGCAGUCCUUUCUACUUCAAUUCCCAAGAAGUAUUUUAGCGAGCCAAGAUCCUUCAGAGAGAAGCUUUUGUUCAGCUUCUGAAUCACGUCGUCAAUUAUCCUGCUAUUACUUCCUGUGAGUAGUAUGUCAUCUACAUACACAGGUAGCAGCACUGUAUCUCCAUCUUUGUUCAUAAAGAAUAGUGAGGUGUCUGAUAUUGAGUUUUUGAACCCCCAGUCUUUAAGGGCUUAACUGAGCUUAUUAUACCAGGCCCUUGGAGCUUGUUUGAGACCAUAGAGUGCCUUUUUUAACUUGCAAACAUAUUGUGGCUUUCUUUUGUCCUCGAAGCCUUGCGGUUGUCUUAUAAAAACUUCUUCACAUAGUUCACCAUGCAAGAAUGCAUUAUUCACGUCCACUUGUUUGAUAUCCCAGUUGUUCAUAAUAGCUAGGUUCAACACAAUUCUAAUAGUUGGUGAUUUGGCCACUGGACUGAAAGUUUCGUUAAAAUCGAUGCCCGCUGUUUGAUGAAACCCUUUAGCCACAAGUCUCGCUUUAUACCUUGCUAUAGUGCCAUCUGGAUUAUACUUCACCUUGUAAACCCAUUUAUUUCCUAUUACCUUUUGAUCCUGAAAGGGUGGAACCAAUUCCCAGGUUCUGUUUUUCUGAAGUGCUUCAAACUCUUCCUUCAUGGCUGUCUCCCAUUUUUUAUUUUUCAACGCCUCUUCUACACUUGCUGGAGUGUCAAUUUUCUCUCUUGCUAAUCUUUUUGCUGUGUAAAUUUUGGGUUUAUAUAUCCCAGACUUGGCUCUUGUGAUCAUAGGGUGACUGGGGGGAAGUGUUUGUGGCUGGCUUGUUGACUCUGUAGCUGCAGUAUUUUGGGUACUUUUUUGCUGUUGUUUCUGAGUUUGUCAUGACUGGUUCUGGUGUUUUAGGUUCUGUAGUGUUGGUCUCUUGGUUUGGUGAAAGGAUGUGGAGCUCUCGGUCUGUUGGACAGUGAAGGUUGGAGCCUGCUUCUUGAACGACUGCUGGUGGAGAUGUAGCUGAGACACAUCCUGAAGUAGAAACCUGUGGCACUGUUAGGAUUUGAGUAUAAUAUGGACACACAGCUGUAUUUUUCUCAGUAGGUUGAAAAGCUUUGUCAUUUUGAAAUGGAAAUUCAAACUCAUUAAAGACCACAUUUAUUGCUAUAUAAACUCUCCCACUACUGUGUAAGCACAAGUAUCCUUUGUGUUGAGAGCUAUAUCCUAUAAACACACAUUUAGCAGUGCGAAAAUCUAAUUUAUGUGAAUUGUAUGGCCUUAAGUGGGGAAAACAUGCACAACCGAAAUCCUUCAUGAAUUUGUAAUCAGGCUUUUGAUGAUAGAUUAUCUCAUAUGGGGAUUUUCGAUUGAGUAUUAAUGUCGGCAUCCUAUUUAUUAAGAAUGUGGCUGUUUCAAAGGCUUGCCACCAAUACUUUGUAGGUAUUGAGGCUUGUGGUAGUAAGGUUAGGCCGAUUUCUACUAUAUGCCUAUGUUUUCUUUCCACCCUUCCAUUUUGGUGAUGAGAGUGAGGACAUGAAUGCCUAAAUAAAAUUCCAUUUUCUUUGAGAAAUGGUACGAAGGAUCUGAAUUCACCCCCCCAAUCUGUUUGCAAGGUUUUAAUUUUCUUUUCAAGUUGGGUUUCAAUCAUUUUCUUAAAUACUUGGAAGGUGGAAAAGGUUUCUGAUUUGGCAGCCAAUGGAUAAAUCCAUGUAAAUCUGGAAUAGUCAUCUACAAUGCUUAGGUAGUACCUAUAGUUGUUUCCAGAGGCUAUUGGUGAUGGUCCCCAGAGGUCAAUAUGCAAUAAUUCCAGUGGUUCAUUUGUUUUUGUUGCUGAGUUUGUAUGGCUUAGUCUAUGACUUUUUCCAUAUUGGCAUGCUACACAAAAUUGAGGAACGGAAAUUUUAUUGAUGUUACUAGAUACAUCACAUGACAUUAAUAUGUCAUUUAAUGUUUGAACACUAGGGUGACCAAAUCUUUGAUGUAAUGUAUCUAUUUUAUUGACUCCAUUACAAGUUGAUUCUAGACUUCGACUCUUAGAAGACUCUGAUUCGCUGUGUGACAACACAGGCUUAUUUAAAGCAGCAAAAAGAGAAGUUGCAAGGGGACUUUUGACUCUAGAUUCAGGUGUCUUGCAGGAUGUUUCCAACAGAUACAAUCCUCCAUCAGCCGUUCCUUGAAGCAAGACUUUCUUCCUCAUCUUGUCCUGUAUAAGGCAAGUAUUUUUCUUGAAAACAACAAACAAGUCAUUGUCAGAUAAUAAUUUAGAGAUGCUAAGGAGAUUUUUUGUAAUAUGAGGGACAUGCAAAACAUCUUUUAAAAUAAUUGGCUUCUGACAUGGGACAUGUAAUGAGGAUCUACCAAUAUAAUUUAUUUUUAACUUAUGACCAUUACCAACCAUAAGUUUGUCACUUCCCUUGUAUUCAAAUUUCGUUUCAAGGUUUUCAAUCUGAUAUGUGACAUGGUUUGUAGCACCACUAUCCAGGUACCAACCUUGAUCAUUUUCCGAAUCAAUCUUUGCAACAUUAGCCGUGGCUUGACUCUGGUUUUUCUCAUUGCUUUGUGGCUCGUAGUCUUCUUUAAAGCGAUGCCAGCAAUCGAAUGCAGUGUGUCCUACCUUUCCACAAAUUUGGCAAGUUGGCUUUGAUUUUCCUCUGCCAGAUGUUUGUGGUGUUUUUGCUCUGCCUCUACCUCUUGGAUUGUUUCCUCUUCCACUAUUGUAUUUUCUUUGGUUUUGAGUAGAUUGAGCAUAGUUUGCUGAUAUGUUCCCAUCAGAAGCUAUGUUGGCAGCAGUAUGCAGCUGAUCAAGUCUGCUUUCAUGGUUCAAGAGAAGUGAAUACACUUCUUGAAGAGGUAGUGUGUCUGAUCUUGCUGUUAUAUUAACCACUACAGGGUCAUAUUCUGAUCCCAAGCCUGCAAGAAUAUAGAGAACUAAGUCUUCUUCUGUGAUGGGAUUUCCUGAGGCGGUGAGAUUGUCAGCAAAGUUUUUCAUUUUGGAAUAAAAAUCACUAACAGUCAUAGACCCCUUUUUCUGGGUUUGAAGCUGCAUCCUAAGUUGUAGGAUUCGAGCUUUUGACUGAGAGGAGAAAAGCCUUUCCAGUGCAUUCCAAACUUCAUAAGAAGUGGUGCAACUGAUGACUGAACUUAAGACACUUUCAUUCAUUGAAGACAGCAGCCAACUAAGAAGAAGUUGGUCCUGUUUCUUCCAAAGUGCAUAUUCUGGAUUUACAGUCGUUUCUGCAGUUUGGUCAUCUACAGCAACUACCAGAAAUUUGUUUGGGCAAGGUUUUGUGCUGUUUAUGAAGCCUUCAAGUUCAUUGCCACGGAUUGAGGGCAGGACUUGAGAUUUCCACAUCAGGUAAUUUUGUCUAUCUAGCUUGAUUGGGACGGUGAAAUUGAAGGUGGUGGGAUUGGUUUGUGGUAUUGUAUGGGUGGCGGAAUUGGUGGUAUUAACAAAACUAGAUGAAGCCAUUAUUUCGACUUACCCGCUCUGAUACCAAGAUAAAUUUCUUAAAGGAAUAGCUUUUUAUUGCGGUAUGUGUUCUUUGUACAGAGCUCUGCUAUUUAUAUGCAGGGCUAGAUACUUUACAUGGUAAGUGUUUACAUGGCAAGAAUCACCAUUUAAUUAUACAAUAUUUUCAAUCUCCUCAUAUUUACAAUUUCGUUGAUCUCCUUCCUUGAAUACAGAUUCUUGCUUUGUGUCCAAGGUUAUUGCUUAACAGCUUCACACGAUUAUGUGGCAUCUGACUUGGACUCUUUUCUAACUCCGCUCAUCACAUGGCACUACGGAUGAAAAUCGAAACGCACUACUUGUGGUUGCUGUACUAAUCGCGACAGCCACAUUCCAAGCAGCGCUUACCCUGGCUGACGAUCUUCAGGGAAAUAAGUCAACUGGAACCAGCAACUCUGUUGCCAAUUUUGGAUCACAAUCAGCGUCGACAUCGACAUCGGCAUCAGCAUGGGCAUAUGUAACACCAUCAGGAAGAGCAAAUGCAACCGCCAUUUAUCGGAGCAAUGGAACCAGCAGCAGCAUCCCAACAAGUGACAAGAUUCGAUUCGCUCACGGGAAAUUUUAUGGCGAUGCCGUCAGUGAUACGAUCUCCUCACUUUUCGCAUUUUCAAAUAUUACAGCAUUUUGUAUAUCUAUGCUGGUGAUUAAUUAUCACCUUCCGUAUGGCUCCGCAGCUACUCUGGUAUAUCCUCUAGUUAUUUGCUUUUGCCUGUUAGUGGUUGGCAGAACCCCGUUGUCGCUACUUGCCUCAUUCUUAAUGCUUAUCGUCUUUCGGAUUUUUUUAUUUGUACAACUGGACUUCUCCAAGGUUCGAUUUAGACGAAGCUUCUGGAUUACACAAGUUUUGGGCUCCGUUUUCAAACAUUACGGAAGCUUCCGCAAUAAGAUGAACGAAGAUGAAAAAUAGCUAUAAUGCCAAUAUGCUGCCAAGGACAAAACACAUGUCCGUUGGUCUGUUGAUGUUCUCUGCCAUGGACAAGUGUUUUAGUUAAACACUUCCUCUGAAGUAAUAUUGCUGGUUUUGUUUUGUGUAAGAAGGUGUGCUUUUCUGUACUGUAUUUUCUGAAUUAUGUUCGUUUGCUUUUGCUUCAUUUUGUAAGGUCUUGCAUGUUUCAAUGUAACAUUAAUUACUCUUGUUGUAUCUGAUAGUUGUAUUGUUCACGUUCGUGACUGUGAAUAUAAUGAUGUUAAUUUAAUUAAAACUAUAUGCUUGUUUGGCUGAUAAGAAAAUGAAGGAAAAUUUAUUGACUUAGAGAGGAAAAACAGAAAUUGAAUUCGUUAUGAUUGAUACAGUGAAAUGAGAUUACAAUACACUAUAUAUAUAUAGUAGCAUCUGGAACUUUCCAAGUGUAACAGAAUCAUAUACAAAGUCUCUGAUAUUCACCAUAACAUUUUGGUGGGAAAUAACAAACUAAUAACAAACUUUGAACAGCUUGCAUAACAAUCUUCCAGUAGCUUCCAGCAUCUUGUCCAGCGUGGCAUCUGAUUCAUUACUCUACUUAACAAUUUUCUGACAUCAAUUAGCUGACUCAACAUAUUCUUAACAAAUUUGUAUGAACAUAUGAAAUAUCAAUAUCAUUGGGCUUUUGAUGCUCCCACAGGCUACUUAAAAUUGUACCUAUAAAAGUCUGUUAGAAGAAAAGCUGAUUCAAAAUACUUACGGCAAUAUAUAAGUAUGCUUCCGGCAAUAGGGUGAAAGCCUACACAUGAAGAAAAACAAACAACAAACAGCAAACGCACAAACAUAGCAACAAAAGAAGACAAGACAAUGUCUGAUGAGAUUAAAAAGCUGACAAUUGAUGAACCCUUCAACACCCCUCCAAAAGGCUCAGCUGGGUCAUAAUAAAUGUCAACAUCCUCUGACCUAACUGACUCAUCAACCCUAAGUGACUCAUCAACCUAUGUAUCGGGUUUUUCAUUCAUCAGCAAAGAGUUUCAGCACUUGAUCUGAAAAAUAAAGACUGCUUUUGACACUCUAGAAAUUCAAUUUCAUUUUUCCAUGUUAUUGAUGAUCAAACUCAGAUUAGCAACUGAAAAUAUAAUAUAACAAUUUGACAUCAAAAGUAAGUCCACUGAAAAUCUUUGGAAAUAUAUUAAUUAAAAUUAUGUUGAUGAAAUUUUUUAAAAUUUUAUGGUUUUGGUUUACGAAUCGUGUUGGCGAACGGCUUUAUUGUACAAGUACAGGUGCUGCUUCCUCUUCAUCUAUAUUAUACGGUUUACAUUGUUAAUUUAUUUUAGUACUUUGUUUCCUCAUUUGUUGAAAUCCACUGAGUGCUUUAAAGUUACCUGAUUGACACUAAAAUUAUCAUUUUUUUCCUUCAUCCUGUUCUCAAAUUCAGUCACGUUCCUUCGUCAUUUGUUCACGAAAUCCAAGUGCGGGCAACCAAAUGAGAAAGCCUGUAUUUUGACAAGCUCAAUCAAAAUUCUUCGGUUCCUUACGUGUUGAUUUCGACCUCUAUAAAUUAAAUUUAUUUAGCUUGAAGAGAGAAUUUGAUAAAAAUUUAAAUAAAGAAAUUGGGCAAUGAGAAUAUAUUUAUAAUUUUAUUAACAAUAUAUGGACAAAUUGGACAAUUAACAACUAUUUUUUUAUGUGCUAGAAGGGUAUAACGGUAAUUAUAUAUUAAAAUUAUAAUUUCUGUUAAAAGUAACGGUUUCCGUUGAUGAAUGAGGGUGUGAAUGUCUUUUUUGAAAUAUUGGAAGGACUUUUAUCCAUCUGUCUAAACGUUGUGAGUGUGUUAGUCUUUUUCCCUAUUUACAAGUACAAUUGUAAAUUUAUUUUCCCAUUCUUCUUCCCUUCUCUUCAAAAUUCAGCCCGAUUUUCUCCAUUUAAUCAUUCGCAUUUACAACAUUGCAAAUCUAGAAUUAGAAUUAAAAAUUCUUCUGAUUUUCCAAUACCAAUAAGUCAAUAAAUCAACUAUUAUAGUCAAAACCAAACCCUAAAACAAAAUAAUCAUUUUUUUUCCUUCAUCCUGUUCUCAAAAGGGGUUAUCUUUGUUGCUAGGCAUGUGGUGUUUUACGAAUCAAAAUUUCCUUUCUCUACUGAUCCUCAAUUCUCUAAGCAAUCUUCUACCUCUGUUUCCGAGUAUAGACAUCCUAUGUUUAAAACUUCUUCUGUGUUAGUUCUGCUACAUGAUCCUUCAGGCUCAAGUGACAACACUGUACAACAGCUUUAGCUCCAUGCAGUUCCAGCUUCCUCUUCUUCCUCUAGUUCUUCAUCAUCAUCACCUUUACCUCCAAAUCCAUAUUUCCCUGAUCCUUAUCACAAUAUGUCCCAUAAUUCCCAACACUCUUCUUCUUCUACAUCUAUUGUGCCUAUUCCACAGCCUUCUGUCCCUGCUCACGUACCACUGCCAACUCAUCCAAUGGUUACAAGAGCAAAAGCAGGAAUAUUUAAGCCAAAGUUUCUUGCAUAUUCUUCUGUUCUUGAAGAACAUGAACCUGCUACAAUUUCUCAAGCUCUCUCCAAUCCUAAAUGGAAAGCAGCAAUGCAGGCUGAGUAUGAUGCACUCAUGAAAAAUGAAACUUGGGUUCUUGUUCCAGCCUCUCAAGCUACUAAAGUUGUUGGUUGUAAAUGGGUGUUUCGCAUUAAGUAUAAUGCAGAUGGCUCUAUCUCUGAGUAUAAAGCUCGUUUGGUUGCAAAUGGGUUUCAUCAAACCCCUGGUAUUGAUUACUUUGAGAAUUUUAGUCUAGUGGUUAAGCAAUCUACUAUGAGAAUUGUACUUAGUCUUGCUGUUAUGAAGAGCUGGAAAAUAAGGCAGAUAGACAUCAACAAUGCUUUCCUUAAUGGGCAGCUCAAUGAAGAUGUUUACAUGUUUCAACCUGAGGGAUUUGUCUAGCCUUCAUCUGGUCAUGUUUGUAAAUUGCUUAAGGCUCUUUAUGGUCUAAAACAGGCUCCUAGAGCCUGGUUUGAUCGGUUAAGGAAAGCAUUGUUGAAGUGGGGGUUUCAGAACUCAAGAACAGAUUCAUCUUUAUUCUUUAAACAUGAACUUGGAGGUAUUGUAGUUGUGUUGGUAUAUGUGGAUGAAAUUCUUAUUACUGUAGAUAAUAAUACAGUGAUUGAAAGGUUCAUCAAAUAUCUUGGAGAUACUUUUGCUUUAAAAGACCUUGGUGAAUUCAAUUACUUCCUUGGUAUUGAAGUUACUCAAGGUACAAAGGACAACUUACAUCUCUCACAGGCCAAAUAUGUAAGAGAUUUGCUCACAAAAACUGCAGAGAAAGUGGUACUCCAAUGAGUACAGGACAGAAACUAAGAAGAGCAAGAAAUGAAGAUAAUUUGAUUGUUAAUGUUACUGAAUAUAAAAGCAUAAUAGGUGCAUUGUAGUAUUUGGUACUCACAAGGCCAGAACUUGCUUUCUCAGUAAACAAGUUGAGUCAAUUUCUUGCUGCAUCUACAGAGAAGUACUGGACUGCUUGUAAGAGAAUUCUAAGAUACUUAAAGGCAACUGAGGAUUAUGGCUUGCUAUUUAAACCAGGUGGUGGUGUUGUCUUAACUGCAUAUACUGAUGCAGAUUGGGCAUGUGAUGUUGAUGACAGGAAAUCAGUUGAAGCAUAUUGUGUUUAUCUUGGGCAAAAUCUUAUUUCAUGGUCUUCUGAGAAGCAACAAACAAUAGCUAGAUCUAGCACAUAAUCAAAAUAUAGAGCAUUAUCAACAUCAUGUGCAGAAAUCGUUUGGGUUCAGGCUUUGCUUGGUGAACUUAAUAUAAUCAAACACCAAUAAUCUGGUGUGACAACAAUGGUACUGCUGCAUUGACAACAAAUCCAGUAUAUCAUGCUAAAACCAAGCACAUAGAAUUAUAUGUACAUUUCAUAAGAGAGAAUGUGACAAAUAAACAAGUGGAAAUCAAGUAUGUGCCUAGUGAAUGGAAUAUUGCAGAUGUGCUUACAAAGCCUAUGGCUUACUGCUUUUUUAAUUACUGUAGGACAAGCUUAAUGUUGUUUCAUGACCGUUAAGCUUGAGGAGGAGUGUUAAGAUGCUUAAUCAACAGCAGUAGACCAGUGGCUGAGAUUUGUGCGACAAGGAUUGCUGAGCUGGACAAAUUAGUUAAGUUGUUGUAAUUAGUUUUAGUUUAGCCAAUAGAUGUAUUACAAUUGUACAAAAGGUUGUUAUUACUGUUGAUCAACAAUAUAAGUUUGCUACGAGCUAAAUGUAAUUCAUAUAAUUCAUAUCAAUAAAAUUUUCUCCGAUUUAGUUACUUUUCUUUCUUCUUUCUGUCACUUUCCUGCUAGCCAAACAAACUAUCAACCUAAGAUCCGUGAGUUCUAACUUUUACAAAUGUAAUAAUUACCAUGAAUUUGCAAAAACUUGCAGCAAAUAUUUGUGUCCCAAUAGGUUUACAAUUGCAACACAUAUCGAAAAACUGUAAUAGUACCCUUGAUUAUAAUUACUUGACCAUAGUCAGUGGCGAACUAUGUAUACGCCUGGCAGCCGAGGUGUCAGGAAUUUAAUUUAACAGGGGUGCCUAAGUUCAAACACUAACAUAAUUAAAAAAAUGGUCAAUAAAUAACAAAUAUUAAAAUAUUUAGGGCUAGUUUGGCAAUCUUAUAACUUUUAAAAUAAUUGUUGUUACUUGCGCUGUAAAAAUAAUAAGUUGUGAAUGGAAUUAGUUAAACGUUUGACAAAAUUUCUUCUUAAAAGUGCUUUUGUAAAUCUCAUUGUUGAACUAUUAUAAGAGUUUAAAUGAUUAAAAUGGACAUAAUAUUAAAUAAAAUAUAUUAUAUAGAUAUAAAUACAUACAUAUAAUAUUUUUUAUUAUGUCUAUUAGUAAUUGAAAACUAAAAUAAUUAUCUUUGUUUUAUUAAUUAUUUUUUAUCUCAAUAUAAUUAGUAAUAAUAAUAAUCUCUAGAUUUAAUAAUUUUAUUUCCUAAUUGAAUAAGGAUAAUUUUAGAUUUUUAUAAUAUAUGUAAGGAUAUAUAUGGAAUUUUAUUAAUUAGAAAACUUAUCCUGAAAAUUAGAUUUUGAAAGCCUACUUCUUUUUUGCUUUCCAAAAUAUGCUGUUAAUAAGAUAGAGUGAUUUUACCGAAAGUGAUUUAAAAAAAAAAAAUCUACCAAACAGUAAAAUUAAAGUUUAGCUUUUAAAAUCACUUUUAAGUCUCUCAAAAGGAAUCCCAAAUAGGCCAUUAAUUCAAUACAAUUAUAAUUGUUCUCAUGUAUUUUCAUAUGUUAAAAAUAUUGAAGAAUAACCUCAUUAUCAUUACUACAAACAUAUUUUUUUCUACGUAUACAAUAAAACUAUCAUUCAACAAUUGGUUUCCCAUAUGAUUUUGUGGAAGAUUUUUCAGAAAAUUCAUAGCUGAAAAUACCCUUUCUAAUUUAGUUGUGUUGCCUGAUAAAAUCAUUGCUAAUGUUACCAACAUAUAAAUUAAUGAAUACAACUAUCCAUUAUCUCAACCAUUUUUCUUGCUAACUCACCAGUCUCUUUUAAUCUUAAAAAUGUUGUCAAAACCCACAUUCAUAAUAUAAUCAUCAAGUUGAAUUUCAAGUGCCAUAAUGCAACAAUCUUUCUUUAUGGGUUCAAAGUGUUAAAAAGAAUAUUUAAUAUUUUACUUGUUUUUAAAUUUUAACAAGGGCAUUAUGGUAAAUCAAAUAAAAUAGGACAAAUAUUAAAAAAAUUAAAAAAUUGAAAAAGGGUUUUAGCCCCUGCUAAAAUGGCACCGCAUCUAAAGCCUAGGGUGCCUUGAGGCAACAUACCAAUAAUAAUAAUAAAGAAAGAAAUCAAGAAAAAAGACACAUAAUAAUAAGUAGUAACAUUAGCAAUGUUAUUUGUAUUUUAUGUUUUGACCCCUAUAAUUUUACAAGUUGAUUUUAUGUUACCGCCUACUGAAAUUUAUGGUUUUGGUCAUUGUGUUUGGCCCUCUCAAUUUUAGUGAUUCUAUACUGUAUGAAAUGUAAGUUAUGCAACCCAAGAGGGGGGUGAAUUGAGAUUUUAAAACUUACGCUAAAUAAUUCGCACAACAAUUUAAUGUAUUGCCUUAAUCAAAUGCAAAAACAAUAAAUUCAGUAAAGCACAAUACUAAAAGAGUAAGUACAAUAAUAAAAGAGUAAGGGAAAAGAAAGCAAACACAAAAAUUUUUACGUGGUUCGGCAAUCCCCGCUUACGUCCACGCCUCCAAGCCAACCAAACUCGAGGAUUUCACUAUCAAAGCCUCCCAAAUCCUUAAGUUCUUACAAUUAACUUCCAAUGUGUCAAUGAACCUUUACAAUCAAGAGAUUAUCUCCCCAAUCUAUUCACCCUAAGUGUUUCUCACACUUGUACACUUACAAUUUGAUGAGAAAUGAACAAUUACAACAAAAACUCUCUUUAAGAGUGGAUUUGCAAAUAAUAGCAUAAUAAUGAUUCAAUAAAUGAUGGUUUACGAAAUAGAACCUCAAUAUGUGUUAUAUGAUCUUAUUUAUGCUUACAUUAGUCUUGAAAAUGAAGAUGGAGUUAAGGUUUUAUAACUAAAGCUCGAAAACUAACCGUUAUAGGCAAAUUCCAGCGCUCAAGCGGUUAGCCGCUUGAUUUAUCCAACUAGCCGCUCCAGAACAAUGAUGUUACCAUUAAAUUUGAAUUUUACUACAGUAUCAUUGUUCAUUAAAUUACAUUUGUGACCAAAACUUUCUAUAAUUAUAUUAUAGCCUAACAUGUCAUAAAACUUUGCAAAUAAGUCUAAUUUCAGAAUUUCUAAAUAAUACAUGUCAUUCCUAAAUCUUAUUGUAAUUAUGAUAUGACCUAGUAUAUAAUAACAUUUUUAAAAAAGGUCCUUUUCAAAAUUUAAAAUAAUACCCAUAAAUUUUAAAGUUCUCAAAUCUUUUCAAUUUAGUCCAAAAUUUGAAAAUAUGAGACUUUCCUCAAGCGGUUGGCCGCUCACUCUCUGUCCAAUUUUUUAUUUCAAUUGUUUGGAUUACGUUUUGGUCCUCAAACUUUCUUAAAUUGUAAUAUGACCCAAAAUAUUUCAAAUAUUUACAAAUAAAUCUAAAUUCGAAAUUCAAAACAAUACUUAAUAAAAUAAAAGAUUGCAAAACUUUUUCAUUUUAGUCCAAAUUACUCAAAUCCACAAAAUACUUUAUCUUAUAAAUAUAAAACCUUUUAGUUUAUGAAAGGUAAUUAUUUAAAUAAACUCUUGAGUUUCUCAAAUGCUAAAUCAUAUAUCAAUUAAAUCAUACCGAUUUUACAAGAAUUUGUCACAAUAAUUUGUCCGUUGAGCUCUAAACUUUAUUCUUGAUUUUGCCGUUGUCCGUUGAGUGUCUUGAACUUGAUUCACUUGCAUAAAUAUUAUCCUUAAAAAACUAGUAAAAAUGUGAAAUACAAUAUUUAUUAAAUCACUUAACACAUGUUUGUUAUUAUCAAAAUUACAUUAUGGGUAGCCCUUUAGGCUAACACUGUAGCCUACUCAAGUAUAUAGUUUCUUCAUUAGGCCCCAAAACCAAAAUCCUAAGAGUAUCUCCAAAAAGUUCUAUUAAUUUUACUCUUCAAAUAUUUAUUUGCUUACCUAUGUGGUAAAAAGGAGAGUGAAAAAAUAUGUUAUUCUCCAAAAGACUCUUUAAAUAGAAAUAAGUUAAUAUUAUUUUAAUCAAAUAAAUAUUUUUUCAAAGGAAAAAUAAAUGGUAAUUAAAGCAUUUCUCUCUCUCUCUCUCCCCAAUAAAAAGUAAUAAAAUAUAAAUUGAAGAGAGAGAAAGUAACUCUACAAAUUAAAGAGAGAGAAUUAUUUCUUAUUUGAAAAAUCUUAAUUAGAGUAUCUUUUGAAGUCUUAAAUACUGAUGUAACUCUUCAAAUAAGUAAUAAAAUCUUAUUUGAAGAUUUUUUUGGAGAUGCUCUAACUUCACCACUAGAUUUACUUGAGUAUUCAACAAUACUCGACUUACUUGAGCGUAGGUGAUUUAGUUAUACUUAAUUGACUACUAAAACAAUUUAUUCGACUUACUCGACGAUACUUUACUUAGCUCACUCCAUGUACUAAUAUUUUACUAUUUUUCUAAGUGGUACAUUUAAUUACAAAAAUCCAUGAAAAUUUGAUAAUGAUGAAAUGCUUAAUAAAUAAGGGUAUUUGGUCGAAUUAUAACAAUGUUUGUUAAACACUGGUCUAAUAAUAAGUAGUCAUUUUCUGAUGAAAUAAAAUUAAAGCUGACAAAAUUUAACAUUACUGGUUUACUCUAUACAAAUACAACAUGAAUAAAUAUGUAUCUAUCAUGAAAAUUGACAUGAUUAUUAAAUGAAUUUGGUCUAAGUCAACCCAAUUGUUUCCCGUGUCAGGCUAGAAUUCAAUUUUUCAAUGCAUUUACUUGGUCAAUGACGUGAUUGUUAAAUAGUUAACCAAAACUAAUUCAUAUUUGCAUUAAAAUAUACUUAUAUUUUCAAUUCUAAAUUAAUUUAUAGAAUCUUAUCAUUAAAACUCAAAAUUUGGUCAUGAUUCUAGAUGAACAUAUAUUUGAUGUUCUAUUUUGUAAAAUUCUUGAUAGAUUUAAAACUUCAAUGGUUCAUACAUGUUGUAUUUGCAUCAAAUGAGUGUGUAGUAUUUGAUGUAAAUCGUGUUAGAAUUUAAAUAGGUAUUCAGUGAAUUUUUAGGUUAUAUCAUGUUAGAUGACACAACUACCUAGUUAUUAAAAGAGCGUAUCAAGUCACUAUUUUAUUUUUCGUAUCGAGUUCAAGUUUUAAUAUUUUAACAUUUUAUUUUUCGUAUCAAGUUCAAGUUUUAAUAUUUUAACACGACUAUUAAAUAAGUCGUGUUUUAACCAACAUAAAUUUAACACAAAAUUGACACAAUAUGAGUGGCUUAAUGACCUAUUUUGUUAGUUUUAUUUAAAACCCUCUAAUCUAUAAAUAAAAAAUAAAAAACGGUCCAUGGGCCUAGCCCAAAUAUAAAUUCAACAAAACCAGCUCCCGCUCAAUCACACUCUCUCGGUCGUUCCCUUCACUCUCCAAAACCCCCCAUUCCAAACAAAACCCUCAUUUUUCCCUCUUAACGAAGUCACUUUCUCGAGAACCAAACAUUCCCUUAGAUCUCCAAUUUCAUAAUGAGAGAAGAAGAAAUAGAGAAACUUCGAGGAUUGGUUCGCGACUGUGUGAGUAAGCAUUUGUACUCGUCGGCCAUUUUCUUCGCCGAUAAAAUCGCCGCUUUGACCAAUGACCCUACUGGCGUGUACAUGCAGGCUCAGGCUCUGUUCCUUGGCCGCCACUACCGCCGUCCAUUUCACCUCCUUAACGCCUCAAAAAUUGUGCUCCGUGACCUCCGAUUUCGUUACUUGGCUGGUAAGUGUCAGGUAAAGUUCUGUUUUUUGAUUGCAUUAGAAAAUUUGACUUUCAGAUUUUGGGAUUUGUGCUUUUUGCGUUUUUAGUUUUUUUUUAAUGUUAUGAAAAAGGGAAAUUUUGAAAAUUUUUACUUGAAAUUCGUGUUCUUUUUAUUUUAGAACAAAAGAAUUUCAAUGAAAAAUAUUUGGAAAUUGAAUUGCUCUAGCAAAUUUGCAUGUGUUGUGUGUUUUAAGAAAAUGAAAACUAGAUUUUGAGCAAUUAAGGAGAAAUUAUCGACUUUGAGCUGAAUGAUUUUGAUCAAUUUUUUCUUGAAUGUUUAUUUGUUUAUACAACUGGGUAGUUUUUCUUUUACUUAUUUAUUUCUGGUCUGUCCUUUGUAUAAUUAGGAGGAACUGAAGGAGUGGGACUAGUGUUUGUCGAUGCUCGGUGAUGCUAAGGUUGAUGAAGAUGGUAAUGUUUAUGACACAAAGGAUAUCAAUGUCAUGUACUUAGAUAAAGAUGGGGAAGACGGAGAAAUCAAUGUAAGUUUUUGUUUGUAAUCUCAUUUUAUCUGGCCUUUUAUUUUUUAAUUUGUUGCACAUUUGUUGUAUACUUGACCCAAUAUUUCUUUUUUCUAUUACAGAUCUCUUCAGCUAUAUGCUUUUUGAGAGGCAAAGCAUAUGAAGCCUUGGGAAAUUGUGCCCAAGCUCGGCUGUGGUUAGUUUCUUGCGAUGAAUUUACAUGAAAAUCACUCUGCUUAAUUGUAAAAUGCUUUAUGGUUAUUUUCCCUUAGUUUUUCAGUCAAAAUGAUACCAACUUAUACUGUCUAACGGUCUUCUGUUAUAGUAACUUAGGUGUAGUAAUUUAACGUACUGUUAAAGAAAGGAAAUGACUUUAUUGUUUUAAUGGGAGAAUUUUGAACAUUGUUAUAAACUUGUUUAAGUUGGGCAUAAGUAAAUUUAUCUUCAAUUUCAUUACUGAGCAGAUUUUGUUUGAAUGCAUGAAUGUUUGAUAUAUGUGUUUAAUAACCAAGGAGUUUGUUUAGAUACUACUUUAAGAAUUAUCUAUAUAUAGAUUGGGUAGUCUAGAAAACUCUCCUUGAUUAAAUCAAUGUAUAAUUUUGAUAAGACAGUUUAAAAUGUUAACAUCCCAUGUCUUCUGGAGUCCAUUUGGUGACAGAGGAAUGGUAGUAUAUGCUGGGAUGGUUUAGUUCAAUAAGGCUAUUAGUUCUGUUCUGCUUUUUCAAAGAGGUUGAUUGCCAAAUUAACAGCCACAUGAAGGAGAUUGUCUUUUUUUUUUUUUUGUAUCCUGAAUUGUUUUUGCUUCCAACCACAAUUCUGGUCUUCUAUUGGUUCACACUUCCUACUUGUAUCUCGAUGAUUUUAGCUGCAAUACCUCAUUACUAAAUUCAGCUCUAACAACAGAGGAACUUAUUUGCUUCCUCUUUAUCUUGUUCCAUUACUAACUUUCAUGUGCAGCAUUUUUAGAAGGUUAAAACUAAUAGUACAGAAAGGUGGUUUUAAAUCAAAUGUAACAAGAUUCAAUUGACAGAUCAGCUAUGCUUCACUCCAUGUGGUUACCUACACACCUGGAUAUUUGUUUUAGAGUUGUAUGCUGUCUGAAUUAGUGGCCUCAUUUUGUUAUCUGAUUGAAAGCUUGCAUGUAUUUCAGUAAGUUAGGUUCUUCCCUCAACUCUUUUUCUUUAGUAACUAUUAUGGUAUUGUUUUAUAACCUUAAUUAGCUUCUCUUUGGUUUUUCAUUUGUCAGUAUAUCUGCUCUAUUCUGUUCAAUUCCUUUUUCUCUAUUCUCUCAGUUAUGUUGAACUAAAACGCUAUAGUUCAUACAAAGGCUUACUAUAUUUUUUCAUAAUGAUUUAAGGUACAAAGCAGCAAUCAUAGCUGAUCCUUUGUGCUAUGAGGUAUGCAUGACACGCUAUCAAUGUUUUUUUUUUCCUUUCCCCCUAGGGAUAAGCUGGUGGGGGGAGCGUCCCGUUCUCAAAAACUCCUUACCUUGAAUUUUGUGGCUGCAUAAAUUUCAGACAUGACUUUCUAUGCAAAAUAUUACAACCUGUGGAAACUGUUGCCUUCUCAAGGAUUAGAAAAUUACUCAAAAGAGGGCUAGAUUUUUUGAGCUAGGCUUGUCCCUUUUUUUUUUUUGUAAAUAGAAUUUUAAUCCUUUUCUUUAAUUUGACCUCUGCUGAUCACAUAGAUGUCUCAUUUGGAUGUUCCUUAUAAGAUAUAUCGAUUCUCAUUCUUUAUGAUUUUUUUUAUGGCUGUACCUUGAUUUCUUUUUCAGGCUUUGGAAUGCCUUAUAGAAAAUCACAUGCUAACAUGCGAGCAAGGUAAUGAUGUAGUUUUUUCCUAGUCAUCUGUUUCUUUCAUCUGAGAGAAGUGGAUUAUGAAAAUGUUUACAUUUUGAAUUAUAGUUCUUACAUAAGUGUGCACGCGCACACACACACACACACACAUAAAUGAAAUUAUAGUCACACACAAACAUGUUGAUAUAAAUUUAAUUUUGGUAAAAAUUUCUUUGGCUGUGUUCAACUAGCAUUGGAUUUUUCAUGGAACAUGUUAUAAUAGGCUAAUACUUUAAAUUAUUGGAUUUGCUGUUGAAUUUCAGAAACAAGUUUACUUUCAUCAUUGGAAUUUGGUUUUGAAGAUGGAUGGCUUUGUUCAUUCUACUCAUGUUUGAUAAAAAAGGUGAACUGUGUGCAAAUUCAUAUGCUCUUCCAAAUGUAACCAUUUCAAUAAUAAGUUUCCCAUAUGUUUUCGUGAUGUUGAUUCUUUUUGCUGUGUUCGAGUGCAGUGAACAAUUUCUUUCCUUCUUUCCUGUCUCCCUUUGUUUUAUGCAGUAUGACAAAGAGAAUGUUGUAGAAGCCAAAUUCAGAGAAAUUGAAAAAGAAAGAUGUGACAGUGUCCAUUCGAGCCCAUCCUUCUCACACAGUCUGAAAAACAAUACUGAUCUUUUAGAGGGCUUAUUAUUCUGUCAACCAGCGAUACUAGAUUUCAGAAAUAUUCUCUUCACACAGUGUUCUUGGCUCUGUAAUUGUCAAAAAGUUGAAAAGCCUUUUUUCUGUCUGAUGCAUUGUAUAUAUGCAGUUUAAUAUUUGUGGACUUCAAUAAUAUUGAUUACCUUGAUUAUAAUAUUUUCAAUUGUAUGGUUUUUGGGUUAGGGAAGAUUUUUGUCUUUUUCUUUUUUUGGCUUGAUUCUUCUUCUUUAUUAUUAUUAUUGUUACUAUUUCCCUUUCACAAGGAAAAAAUUGGAACUUGCUCCACCUCGCAAAAGUUUUAGAGCGCAUUUAAUUCUCGAAUUGGAGAAUUGGAAUGGAGAAUGGGAAUGAUUGAUUGUGUUUACUUGCUAAAAACAUGAAGAAAUGAGGAUUGAUUUUGGGUGGAGCCCACAAGUUUGGAAAUGAGGUACUGGAAUCCCAUUGCCAUGAGAGAGGUGGGAAUGAAAAUGGGAAAAUUAACACUUUUAUUCUUAAAGAAAAUUAAAUAUUUUUUUUAUCUUAUAUAAAUAAAUAAUUAAUAAUAAUAGUAGUAGUAGUAGUAAUAGUUAUAAUAAUAAUAAAAAAAAUUUAAUGAUAACAUUAGUAGUAGUAAUAAUAAUAAUAAUAAUAAAUAUUUCUUUUUUACCUUAUGUAAAUAAAUAACUAAUAAUAAUAGUAAUAGUAGUAAUAAUAAUAAUAACAAAAUUUAAUGAUAACAAUAGUAGUAGUAUUAAUAAUAAUAAUAAUAAUAAUAAUGAAAAUUAUAGUAUUACGCUCAAUAUUAUAAUAAACAUGUAUAUAUUUAUUUAUUUUGUUAGUGAAAUAUAUAUAAUUUUAACUAAGGGCAUCAUGAUAACUUUCAAUAAUCUAAUCUGACUACGAAAUAAAAUAAAUGCAUAAAUGAAAUUCAGUUAAUUCGAUAGUAAACAAUUUAUUAUGAUUCUCAUUUCUUAUUUUGGUUCCAAAUUCCAUCCCAUUUCAACUCCUGCUCAUUUUGAUUCAUGGGAAGUAAACGCAUUGUUUUUUUUUUUUGAAGAAAGGAAGAAAUUCAUUAAACAGACAAAUGAGAAAAUAACCAGGGUGGUGGAACAUGUCUCCAUUCACCCGGACCUGACAAAGAACACCCCACCUUAGCCACAAUAUGGGCAGCGGUAUUCAUAGAUCUCCUUACAAAAGAGAAAGUCACCUCUUUUAAGCUAUGAGCCAAGGCUCUACAAUCCGAAAUAAUAAGGCCAAAUCCAUUCUGAUAGUCCUUGGAAUCAAUCAACACAUUAAACACUUGUAAACAAUCAGUCUCAAUAAUAAUAGGAAAAAACUGGGUGUUCUUAAGCCAACUCAAGACCUCCCGCACACCCAAAGCCUCUGCCUCACGGGCUGCAAAAUUGCCAACCAAAGAUCCACAUUUUGCAGCAAGAAAUUGACCCUCAGAAGACCGGAUAACUGUGCCGUAGCUAAUCCUAGUAGUAGCACGGGAAGUGGCAGCGUCCACAUUGCAUUUAAACCAUCCAACGCGAGGGCGUUUCCAACAAAAAGAGCCAAGAGUUAAAUCUGCUGGCAUCUGAGUAAAGUGACUCAGUUGACGAGCCCUUUGCCACUGGAACAAGUCUUGACCAGCUUUAUUGAGCACUUGAGGCACUCUGCCUACUACAUGCCUCCAAACUUUAGUAUUCCGAUUUUGCCAAAGACCCCAACAAACCAUUGCAGCAAGACAACUAUCCUCAAUACUACACCGAGUAAAUAGAGCAUCCAACCAAGCUCCAAAAGUAACAAAAUUUCCAGCAAAACCAACCAAAGAAACCAUCCAGCAUUGUUUGGCAAAAGGACAAUCAACUAAGACAUGAUAAAUUGUCUCAAGAGAUGCAUUACAGAUAGAACAAUAAGGGUGUACCUCAACUCGACGACUGAGAAGGUUAUCAGCAGUGGGAACCACAUUUGCCACAGCUCUCCAAAGAAAAUUCUUGAUUUUGGCGGGCACAGCCAGCUUCCAAAUCUUAUUCCAAACUCCACUGUCAGGCGGUUCCGAUAUAAUAUCCAUCCACUUAUAACAACUCCGAACAGUGUAAACUCCUUUGCGUCGGGGAACCAAUACCAAGUAUCACAAUCCCUCCGAGAGCUAAGAGGAAUUUGGAGAAUGCAGUCUCGAUCUCUUCUAUUACACACAUCCUUUACAAGGUCAUAAUCCCACAUUCGGUGAUCAGGAAUCAUAAGACUACUCACAGGAGCUGAUGCUAACGUCGCUGGAAGAUUAGUUGUAAUAAAGCCACUCUCCUGAUCAGGCAACCAAGGAACCGAGCCAAUAGUAAUGCUCUGUCCACUUCCAACUUGGACACGACUCCCUUGGAUUAAAAUCUUCUGAGCAGCCAAAAUCGAUCUCCAUACAAAACUCGGAUUACUUCCCAUCUUUGCUUGAGUGAAGUCUGCAUUAGGAUAAUACCGUGCUUUAAACAAUCUGCCCACCAGCGAAGAUGGAUUUGUAAUUAACCUCCAACCUUGUCUCCCUAGCAUAGCAACAUUAAAGUUGUGGAUGUGUUUAAAUCCAAUACCACCAUAAGAUUUGGGCUUACAAAGUCUGCCCCACUGCAUCCACCUAAUUCCACCACUACCAUAUCUUUUACUGCCCCACCAAAAAGAAUUCAGCAUCCUUUCAAGUUCCCGGCAUAGGUCGAGAGGGAGGAGGUAAACUUGCAUAGCAUAAUUAGGUAUGGCAUGUGCCACAGUUUUAAUUAAGAUUUCCUUUCCAGCUCUAGAGAGGAGUUUCUGACCACCCUUGAAUUCUCUGCCAAACUUUAUCCUUUAUAUAUCGGAAAAUGUCUAUCUUCUUGCGCCCAACAUAAGAUGGUAAUCCAAGAUAGGUACCAUGGUCUGUAGUAGCUACAACUCCAAGCUGUUGACAUAUAUUAUGAACAGUAUCGUCUGCCACAUUCCUACUGAAAGAAAUUAAGGAUUUAUUGUAGUUCACUUGCUGCCCCGAAGCUGCUUCAUAAGUUGCCAAAACCUUUUUUACCAGAUGAGCCUCCUGGACAGUAGCUUUAAAGAAAAGAAAACAGUCAUUAGCAAAAAAGAGGUGAGAAACCAAAGGAGCACCUCUAGCAACUCGAGCCCCAUGGAUCAUCCCGGCCCUCUCAUAGUGAUUUAUCAGCAAACUCAGCCCCUCUGCACAGAUGAUAAACAGAUAUGGCUAUAGCAGAUCUCCUUGUCUAAGACCUCGACUUGGCACGAUAGGGCCUAGCUCCAACUCUCCCCGGGUAAUCUUAUAGGUAACUGUAGUGACACAGAGCAUAAUAAGAUUCACCCAAACAACAUCAAAGCCCAACUUCAGUAAAAUCGAUUUAAAAAACCCCCACUCAAUCCGAUCAUAAGCCUUGGACAUGUCAAUCUUUAAUGCAGCAAUCCCCUCUUUUCCUUGACGUUUCCGUUUGAGAAAGUGCAUUAUCUCAGCCGAGAUUAAAACAUUAUCAGCAAUAGCUCUGCCUGGAACAAAAGCACUCUGUGAAUCGGAAAUUAUCGAUCCUAAAACCAUCUUCAUACGGUUAGCAAGCAUCUUGGCUACAAUUUUAUAGAGGACAUUGCAUAAGGAAAUUGGUCGAACAUCAGUUAAAAAUUCUAUCUGUUUCUUCUUAGGAAUAAAGACAAUAGAAGUCUCAUUAAGACCCUCAGGGAAAGAACAAUCCCGAAUGAACCUAAGACACGCCUCAGUAAUAUCAGUACCCACUACAUUCCAAAACUUUUGGUAAAAUGUUGGGUUCAUUCCAUCAGGACCAGGGGAUUUAUCAGGGUGCAUAUCAAACACGGCAGAUUGAACAUCUUCAGCAGUAAAAGGUUCCAAAAGAGAUUGAUUUUGUGCAUCAGUAAUUUUAGAUUCCACACAAUUAAGCACAUCAUCAUAGGAACAAAUCCUAGCAGUAAAUAAAGUUGUGAAAUACUCACAAAUUAAAUUAUUUACAUCCGCAGGAUUAGUACACCAUUGCCCCUCUUGAUUGCGAAGCUUGAUUAAGGUAUUCUUACGCUUCCUUGACGAGGCCAUGGCAUGGAAAUACUUUGAAUUUGAAUCCCCAUCUCGAAGCCAAAACGUCUUCGAACGCUGCUUCCAAUAAACUUCGUGGCUAUGCAAGAGCUCAUUGUAUCUAUCUCGAGCUUCAAUAAAAUCAGCCAAGCUAACUGCAUCACGCUUGCCCCUAAGCUGAUGCAUUUUAUCCUUACACUCCUUAAUUUGAGCUUUGAAAUCCCGAGUACGAUGAUAGCCCCACCGAACUAAAUCUAAGCUGCAAGCCGAGAUUUUACUGAGAAUAGGAAGCCCACCCACCAUAGACCAACUCUUCUCAACAAUAUUAGCACAAUCCGGAUCUCUAAGCCAUGAGUUCUCAAAACGAAACUUCAUAGACCGUCGUCUAAAACCACAGGAGACACAUCCAAAAAGAUAGGGAGGUGAUCUGAACUCGAAGCUUCAAGACACAGAACCUUCACUUGCGGGAAAAGAUUCACCCAAGCGGAAUUUGCAAGGGCUCGAUCUAACUGUUCUUCAACCCAAGCUUCAGUGCCCCGUGACCUUUCCCACGUGAACUGGUAACCAUCCAUACCCAAAUCAAUGAGGCCCGAAUCAGAAAGUGCAGCCCUGAAACCAUUUAUCUUCCACUGCGGGUGAGCAUGAGAGCCGCGCUUCUCUGAGAAAUUGAGGAGGUCAUUGAAGUCCCCUAGACAGACCCAUGGUAACGACGAAGUAGAAGCUAAAUACCGGAGAAGAUUCCAAGAAUCAUGUCUGCGAAAUGACUCGGGAAACCCUUAGAAACCAGUAAGUCUCCAGUUGCCCCUUUCACUAUCCUCAACUGCAAAGUCUAUAAAAUUACACCCAAACUUCAAUAAAUUAACUUUAAAACUAUUUUUCCAGAACAUAGCAAGCCCACCACUACGGCCCUUUCUAUCCACCACAAACAGACCCUCAAAACCUAAUCUAAUUUUGAUGCUUUCUAACUUAUCUCUGUAACACAAUGUCUCAAUCAAGAAAAUAAAAUCCGGUCUUUUAUUCUGGACCAACUCAACAAGAGCUUGAACUGACCGUGGUUGGCCCAACCUACGACAGUUCCAACUUAAACAACUCAUUGGUGUCGGUGGGCCUAGAAUACAGGGCCCACCGCUGGUCCAUUUUUUGAGUGCUCACUCAUCUCUAUUAUCUCAGUAUCAGCAUGCUCUUCUAAAUUCAAGUUGAUAGGAGGCCCACCUCCUGAUCUUCUCCGUUUUGCAUCAACUAAAAUUAAUGCAGAAUUAUACUCCACAUCAGUUUCCUUCACAAGCAUCGAAUGAUUAGCUAUUAGUUCCUCGUCAAUUCCAUCUACACGCAUUGACUUACAGCCUGUUACAAGAAUAUUAGAAUUCAUUGUGACUUGAGCACUUUCCUUCCCAAGGUCUCCGUGACCAGCUGUCCCAUGAUUCACGCCAUUUUCCAAGUCAACUGCCAUUUCAACAGCGUAAGUUGAGGGAUUACCAAAUUUCACCUCAUCUAUCUCUAACACUCCCGAUCUGAGCCAACGGUCACCGGUGUUCAUCGAGCUUCUCCGAUUGGGAGCCUUCAUCCAAGGGCCAUAAGGUUUAAUAACAGGGGUAGCAUCAGUUUCAUAUAUUGAGGGGCAAUUUUUAUCAGUGUGUCCUAAAAUGCCACAGAUAAAACAAAAAUUGUGCAGUCGCUCAUACUUGAAGUCUACCUAUAACCACUCCCCACCCGCUCUUUUGAGGCGCAUUCGUCGUUUAAGGGGUUUCCUAACAUCAAUCGAAACCCUCAGCCUCAUGUAAUUACGCCAUACUCCUGUAAGAUUAUGUUCAUCAGAUGCCAAAAAUUCACCAAUAAAGUUGCCAAUACUCUGUAAUAUUUUCUCGGACUGAAAUCCAAGAGGCAGAUUAUACACUUGAACCCAGAAAUAUGUGUGGAAAAGAGGGAUAUUCUGCGGUUGUUCGUCUACCCCAAGUCUCCGAAUUAUAAGAAUAUGCUGAUCAAAGGUCCAGGGACCAGAUUCAAGAACCCUCCUCAUAUCAAUUUCAUGAAAGAACUGGAAGAGAAAAAGCGUGGGAGAUAAAUCCUUAAUACAAACACCACGCCCAGGACGCCAUAACGAAGCCAUAGUAUUUUUCAUGGCAAUAAAGUUCACUACUUUGUCCGUGAGAAAUCUUCCCACAAGGCAGAAUUUGGAAUCAAGACGGAUAUCCCCAGGAUUAUCAAUCUCCUCUCCAGCCACAAUCAAACCACCCUCCUCCUCCUCGUCAAGUUGCAGGCGCGCACAGAUGUUGCUCAUCUCAGAUUUCAAAGUAUUACUUGUGUUGGCCAUGGAUUAAAGAAAGAAAAGGAUUGAAUCCGUAGACAGUAGAGAAAUAACAAAAGGAGACCAGAAUUUACUUGUCAAAAGACAAGACACACACACUUGUCAAAAGACAAGACUCAUUUUUUAACAAUACUCAAAACAAGUAAACGCAUUGUUAAUUUGUCGCUGUUGUUAAAUAUAUCCUUUAUGGAUUUCAUAUGAGGUUUGAAAUGUUAUUUAGUGAAAUUUAAUUUCUUGUUGGCUCUAUUCACCACAGCAAGGCUACAAAUCUUGAUGGGACAUUCGCCCCCGCUUGGAUAGGUUAUGGAAAUGCUUUUGCUGCUCAAGAAGAGGGUGACCAAGCAAUGUUGGGUUAUCGCACUGCUGCUUGUUUGUUUCCAGGGUAAUUUUUAGCAUUAUUUAUUCAUUUCUAUACCUUCCUGAUUUUCUUUUCCUUGGAUCAGCAUAUUCAUGCAAUGAGGACAAGGACAAAGCCACUAACUUGCUUUUGAGCAAGUUUCAGAACACUUUUAGAAUUUCAUUUUUGGCUUUUUUUUUUUACUUUCUUGGUCUCUGAAAGAUAUCUUAAGGGUAGGGUUUGGUUGAUUUUGCUCAUCUUGAUAUUAUUCAAUUCUUGUUUAAUUUGAAGAACAGUGUGCUUUAGGUGUAUAAUCAUGUGGGUAAAAAAUUUUUUUGGUCCCUCAAGUUUCUAUUAGGUUUCAUGUAAUCCAUGAAAUUUCUGUUGCUUCAGCUUAAUCUGUUUCAAGUGCGCUACCACUAAAAAAAUUGGGUUUCAUGGGUUAUCAACCAAGAUUUUUUUUUCUCCUUUGAUUUAAUAUUAAUAAACUGUUUUACCAAUAUAAACUUUUGAUGAAUGCUUUGCAUUUGAUUUCCAUAUUUCUUCCUGAGAAAUGUUGUAAGUUGAUUAAACAUAGUCUUAAAUCAACCCAAGGCAUUGUUGUAAUGUCUUUCUAUUGUGAUAAUAAACCACAAUGUCAUAGUAGUUUUAUGGUCGUAAAGAUCAAUGAAUUUCAUUGUUUAUUGUUUAGUGAUGGUAUGCAUUGUGUUGUGGGAGUACUCUUAUCACUAUGAAUUGUCUUUUUACAGGUUGAAUCUUGAUGGUCUCUUAUUCCAGGUGCCAUUUACCAACUUUGUAUAUUGGAAUGGAGUACAUGCGAACUCACAGCUUUAAGCUUGCCGAACAGGUGUAUUACUUUCUUCUAAAUAUAGGCUGCCUUUCAUUUUUCUCUUUAGAUUUCAAUGAGAACUCUUAAGAGGUUGUUUGUUUGCAAUAUGAAGUCUGAUUGUUGGAUAUUCAGAUGUUGGUCUAUACGAUUUGCUAGUUGAUGUUGUCUUGGGGGUUUCAUUUUCCUCUUUGGAUUUAAUGUGAAUACGACUUCUUUCCUCUUUGUUUAAUUGUGACAACUUCUAAUAGAUGCUAAUCACAAUCUUUAUUCAUGAUUCUGAGACCUGUGUAAUUAGAAUUUUGGUCAUAUCGUCCAUUUUCCUUUGUUGUCAAAAUAAUGUCUUCUUUACCCAAAUCUCUUAGUCAUAAUUCUUUGAAUAUAUUGUUGAAUUUCUGAUUAGCUGCCCUUUCUCCAGUUUUUCAUGCAGGCAAAGACCAUAUGCCCAUCAGAUCCACUUGUAUAUAAUGAACUUGGUGUUGUUGCUUACCACAUGAAGGAUGUUUGGUUCACUUGAGUUGCUGUUUUCUGUUGAUCCGUUUACCUUAUUAGUGUUUCAUUUUUAAUAAUAUUAUUACUUAAGUAUAUGAAAUUCUAGUUGAUUUAAACUUAGGUCUUGUUUGGUGUUGAGGUGUUGUAUCUUUUAAACUACAAGUGUUGUGGAAAAAAGCUGCAACUAUUAAAUAAAAGUUAAUAGCUUGUAGUAAAUAUAAUUUUUAAAUAAUAAUUUUGACAAAAUUAGUAAAGAUAUAAUAAAGUUUUCAUCAUACAAGUGUAAAAUCAAAUCAAGUUAACUUUCAAACUACAACAGCUGGUGCUUACCAAAUACUUUAGUGCUUUAGUUUUUAAGCUAUAGUUGUCCAAUUCAAUCCCAAACGGUGCUUUUCAGGAAUUGUGCUCUUUUUAUUGUUAUAUGUUAUGGCUUUUGUAUGAGUUCCCAAUCAUCAGUUUGACCAGCAAUUAUUUGAAAUGUGUGGUGGUUUGAAAAGACCUUGGCGCACAUUCCGUCCUCUUUAAGUGAAAUGUGGAAACCAACCGUGGUGAAUCUUGCACAUGCUUACAGAAAGUUAAAGUAUGUUUAAAUUUAUUGGAAUAGGUUGUCUCACUUGCAUUUUCUUGUUCUAUUGCCUACUCAAGAUAUUUAUCCUUUAUUUUAUUGUGUUUUUGUUGAAUUUUACAUGAAAUAUCAUUCAGAUAUCUAGAUUUGUUUUUUUUUUUUUGGCUAAAUUUUCAAGUAGAGGAUCAUCUUUAUCUUGAUAAAUGCAUUUUAUUUUAGGGAUUCCAGCAUAGGGUAAUAAUGUAAGAUUUUUCAGUUUGCAUCGUCUGAGAUUGUGAGCAGCAUGAAGAUAUAAGAAAGAAGUAUAACCUUCCUUAUACCGUCAUGGCUGCUUAUGAUCAGCUUUGCCCAGUAAGCUCGAGAGACUACUAGGAGCCGUAGAAGUUGUCUGUAGCACUUCCUAAAAGGACUUGAUGCAAAUAGUUUAAAUAAGGAUAUGCCGGAUUAUGGAUUGGUCUACUCUCUACUGGCUACUUCAUAUGCUACCCGUUUAUAUAUUUUUCUCUUUAUGGAAGAGUACUUUUUUUUUCAUGUUUUUGCUUUUUUCCUUCUUAGUAGGCGGUGGAUUUAGGUUUAUUUCUAGUAUUGCUAAUCUAUAAACAUACAUUUGACUUAUUGUUUAUUGAACCUGAUUCUAGAAUCUAUCAUGUUUCAGGAUAUAUCACGAGGCAAUAUCCAGUUACGAGCGAGCGCUGACGUUGUCGAAUAGAAGUUUGAGCACAAUAUAAGUUUGAGCACCUAUGCAGGUCUUGCUUACACUUACCAUUUGCAGGUAUGGUGGAUUUAUUAUUAAUUCAUUUUUCAAUGAAAACUUGUGUGCCUAUGAAUAUUCUGCUGAUGUGAGGAGUAGUUAGCAAAUUGAUCUAAGUAGUAUUUGUUAGCAAAUACUAGUUUAUUGGAUGCAUCUAAUAUUUGUAGCUUAGGGUUUAAAAAACUAUUGUCAGAUCUUCACCGUUGCGUUAAAAAAACUGCUAGAGUCUAUGGUGGCGAAUUUGUUUCUUUUGGGUCUCUUGUGCAGGAUAACUUCUCUGCGGCCAUUACAUAUUAUCACAAGGUAAACUAAAAAGUGCUCUUGCUGUUUCCUUUAUGUGCAAUAAGCUUACUGUCUAUCGUAGUCAUCCACUGUUGAAGAGACAACUCUAAUCUCGCUACAUUAUAUGGAUCAUUGAUUUGCUUUUUCAUUCUAAUCUGCAAAUCAGGCAUUGUGGCUGAAGCCAGAUGAUCUGUUUUGUACCGAAAUGUUAAGUUUGGCUCUUGUUGAUGAAGGUCGCCAUGGCAUUGACCCCAAACUCGAAUUUGAGUGUAAUUUGUUAUUCAUACCUAUAACAGUUUAAUUAUUUUGGUAUUGGUGAAGGGCUUUUAUUGUAUAAGCUCAAGGGCGUCAUCUUCAUCUAUAUUCUACCUUUUACAUUAUUAAUUUAUUUCCUCAUUUGUUGAAAUCUACUUGGCUUAGAAGUGAUUUAAAUUGCUUGCUUUCAUGGAACCAUUUUCUUCAUAGUUUUUAUUAUUUACCACCAAACAGUUAAGUCCAGGGAAAUUUACAAAAAGAGCAAAAAAAAUUAAGCAUUUUUCAACUUUAACCCCCUCAAUUUUUUUCUAUCAACAUUAGUCAAAUCACCAAAUUGUGGACGAAAUUGCCCUCAGCAUUCUCACAUUUCCCUCAAGCAAAUUCCUCCCCUUUUCACCAAAAUCUCAUCACCGGAAUCCUGUAUACAUCGUCGGCGGCAUAGAUCGGCAGCGGAGGAAGUUGUCGGCGGCUGAAACAAGCUAAAUCACGUUGAAAAUCUUCGGAGAUCUCCAAAAUCAAAGACAAAAAUUGGAAACCCUAGGUGAGUUGUUAUUAUCGUUGUUGUUGUUGUUGUUGUUGAUGUUGUUGUUGUUGUUGUUGUUUGGGCUGUUGUUGUUCUUGUUGUUAUUGUUGUUGUUGUUGUUGUUGUUGUUAUUUGGGUUGUUGUUGUUGUUGUUAUUUGGGUUGUUGUUGUUGUUGUUAUUUGGGCUGUUGUUGUUGUUAUUGGUGUUUAAUGGCGGUGGUGGGUGAGAUGUAUGUGGGAAAGGGAAGGGAAGAGAAAGGGAAGGGAAAGGGAAGUGAAGGGGAGCGCGAGGCCGCGGCUGUCGCACGUGAGAUGCUCAUCUCGUGCGCGCGAGGCUGCGCCUGACGCACGCGAGAUGCGCAUCCCCCUCACGCGAGGCCGCGCCUGUCGCAAGCGAGAUGCACACGACACGCUCAUCCAGCGCGCACGGAUGGGUAUGCCACACGCAUUUCGGAUGAGCGUGCCGCGCGCAUCUCGCGGGCGACAGGCGCGGCCUCACCCACGAGAUGCGCAUGCCGCGCGCGAGACGCGUGCUAGCCUGCGCGCUUAGCGCAGCUCUUGGUGCCUGUCGCACCCCCGUCGCACCAAGAGACAGCUCAUUGUUUGGUGCUGCCUUUUUUUUUUUUGCUUUUGUUCAUAAUUUAUUAACAUAUAAUACUUUUAACUUGUACUAGAUAAAUGGGAAAAUAAAAAAUAGCAUUGCAUAACUCACCUGGACCGACGAAAGAACGAGGAAUGAUGAAGAUACCUUAUGCUGAUCACUUUCCCGGGCGUAUCACGAGUAUGUGUAAAUUAGAUGUCGUUGUUAAUGUCAUCCGGGAAAAAUUAACAAAGCAACAGUUGCAACUGUUCAAAGAUAAUAUAUUUGGGCAUUUCCUACAGUGCCGAAGCUAUCCGUUCAGUGGCGCAAUUGUGCACAAUAUAUUGCUUCGGCAAGUGUCCCAUGGCGCUGGAAAUGAAUAGAAUGAGUUAUGGUUUCAAGUUGGCGACCAUUUGAUAUGGCUAUCGAUUGGAGAGUGGUGCCUUGUAACGGGACUUUGCUAUGGCAAAAAUGUCGUCCUGACGAAGUAUAAAACAAUGCAUAGGUUACUUAAGAAGUACUUUGGAGGUAGGAAUCGAUAUAAAUCUUGGCCAGUUCGAGGAAAGAUUUAUGAACUUAGACUUUAAGACUAUGGAUGACACCGAUGCGCUAAAAAUUGCUAUGUUUUACUUUGCUGAUAGACCACUAAACGGAAGAAAAGAUCAUUGUCAAAUCAAUUUCAAGUUGCUUAAUGAGGUAGAUGACAUAAAUCACUUUCGAAGUUGUUCGUGGGGUCGUUUGUCAUAGGAAACAAUAUAUAAAAGCAUUAAUAAUGCAUUGAACGGCAAAGCCAAUAAAUUUAAGAGAGCAAGCGCAGAAAAUCCCUUGCAUAGAAUUAAGAAAUACAAUUUUUACGACUUUACGUCUGCAGUGCAUGUGAGUGAAGAAUUUUUUUUUAUAACUUAGUUUUGUUAUAAUAAUUAUUUAAUGACACGUUUUUUUACUUCAUAUUUUUCCUUGUUGAAGGCAUGGAUUUUUGAAGCGAUUGGAGGACUACCAUCAUAGUGGGUGGUGAAAAUUAGGAGGAAGGGUCCUCAAAUCGUGCGAUGGAAGCCCGUGGCUUCUUCAAAUAUAAACUUCGGCGAAGUCUAUAUAUACCUCAACGAGCGUCUUGAAGUCAUUUAUAUGUAUGUAUGUAUAUAACUGUUAAAUAAUAGAUGGUUAUACUAAUUGAAAAUUUGGUAUUCUUUACGACAGGAUGGCACCAUUUUCCAAACCCUCAAACCGGAUGCAAAUGAGAAAGCCACAAAUUAUUGGAAGACCGUCGAGGAUUACGUGCCAUAUUUGCCAAGUUAGGUCCGUAAUGUGGGUAUCCUUUAUAGUAUCAUUGAAAACCGGAUGCAAAGUCAUUUAUAUGUUUUUUUUUUGUAUUUACUGUUUUCUGUUUUACUUGGUGCAGCACCAGCCUUCAAUCAACGAGGCGGAUCAUGACACCACGAGCCAAAUAGGACUGCAGCAGAGUCAUGUUGAGGAUGACUGUGCUGCCGACGACCAUUAUGAAUCCGCACAUGAUUCAGAUGAUAGAAAUGAGCCGGAGAUAACUUUUGUCAUCUUGAACAUUUUGUUUAAUCACAUAUACCUAAUUUCAGCACUUUGUCAUUACUUUCUUAUUUUGUAAUAAUAAGUAAGGACUAAGUUCCGCAAUGAUUAUUUCGUUCAACGACUGGACAAAAUAGAGUCUUCCAUUCAUAAGUUGAGGUCGGAACUUCAGACUGGACACAGUUCCAUUAACGAACUGAGGUCAGAACUUCUGGCAGAACGCAGAGAAGCACAACAAUACAGAGAAGCGGUCAUGGGUUUAUGGCUUCGUUUGGCACGGGUUCUUCAAAGGGCGCGUACGUUGAUUUUCCGUUUGGCCCCUCGCACACGGUGAGCAAGUUUCAUAUGCUUUUGUUAUGUUAUUAUAAUUUCAAACCCGAAAUUAUUUUAAUAUGUUCAUCUCCUCGAAACAACAAGCCCCAGAUGGCUAUGGUCCAAAUGUUGAUGCUAGCUACGGUACGCAUACUGAUGCUGGUAAUGACGAUGAACACACCCCUAUGUCGUUGUACAGUUUAUAUGGGGACAUAAGUGGCGACAGUGUACAGAUAUUCACGGAGGCACCUCCCGGCGUUAGUAAUUUGGCCGUCCGUACUGACCGUCGUAUAUCAUUGGCAAUCCUUACUUCAAUCCCCCUUUCAAGAGAGUUAGGAAUGCCAGGCCUAUGAAAUUGAUGAACAUUACAGACUAUGAAAUUGAUAAAAGAUCGAGUGUGGAUAUGAAUCCACUUAGGGGAUUAGAAGAUUCAAGGCUAUGUGAGAAGUUUGAUCAGUGGUUUGCCGGUAAAUUUUCCGUGGAUCAGCCCGUCCAACAGUCCCGAAAUUUCUUUGAAAUACUCAUGGGCAAUGCUUUGAUGGGGUGGCUUGGUGACGAGGUAAGUGUGUUUAAUGGUCAAUACAUUACAAUAUUGUUCAUAUUUCCGCUAGCAUGAAUUAUGUUCUAAAUUUACUUGGUUUAAUCCCUUCACAACAUAUUCACACAUAUUACCGCUUGAUCAGCGAGAAGCAACGUCGGUUUUCAAAUGCACUACCGCAGUGCGUCACGCAUACAGAUACAUACUUUUGGGCAUGUUCACGAACUCUAUAAUCAUUAACUAUAAUUUUGAUAUUUUAAAUAUCUCGAAAUGUUAUUAAUUUUCUACUCAUCAUAUAAUAGGUGUUCCUGAAGCAAUUAUGGAACAAUGGUAGUUGUGAUGUCCAUUCAUUACAAUAUGGCAGCAACUUAAACUGAUAUAUGGAUGGACGGAAAGAUAUUAUGUCCAAACCGUUUACGGACGUUGAUAUGGUAAGAAUUGUCACUCAAGCUUAUGGUAAUUGUGUAUAAAAUAUACUAAUUUAGUAUUUUUUUAUGUAGAUAUUCAUCCCUGUGAAUUUGGGCGGCGAUCAUUGGGUACUAGCUCAAGCAGACCUUCACACAAAGAGGGUGCGGAUUUACGACUCGUUGGUUACCUUUCGCGAUGACAAAACAUAUUUGCGUAAAUUCAAACCUCUUUAGGUCGUCUUCCCUCAAUGGCUACAAGAUGUUGGAUUCUACAACAUCUGACCUGGGCUGCAGAAUGCCAACCCUUGGAAAAUAAGAAUCGUUAAGGAUGUGCCCCAACAAGAACCUGGAAGUGGUGAUUGUGGCGUAUUUAUGUUGAUGUUUACAAUGUAUUUGAUGUUCAGGCUAAAACUUGAUUUUGAUAGUAGCCACGAGCAUUACUUUAGGAAGAAAAUUGUUGUAGAUAUAUUCACGGGCGAUAUUGCCUUGUAAGGCAUUGUAUUGUGUUCAGACUUGAUAUAUGGAUGUAGAUUAUUUUUCUAAUAGAUAUAAACUUUUGAUAUAUUCAUAUAUUUAGCUAUAAGUAAUUGUUGAUCUACUUUAAUACUCAUUAUGCAAAUGAACAUAAAAUAAUAUACCUCAUUACAUAUAAUUGUAAAAUAAAUUAUAAUAAGAGUUCAGAAUUCAUAAUUAGUUACAAUGAUACAGUCAGUUUGGAUUCGACACAAUGAGAUUUUUACAUCUCUUGCGGUUAUGACCUGGUUGGUUGCAUCGACCGCAUCUCAUAGUUCUUCGGUUAACAUUCUCACCGAUAGAAGGAAUUCUUAACUCUGGACGACGACCAGGUGGUGGUGCUUCGAUCGGUGGGUUAACUCUGAUUUCCUAGAUUCUUCUGGAAUGUCCCAAUCUGUCACGUCACCAACCAGCUCCACUGGUUCUACAUAUGCCAUGACCAAUGAAUAUUUAAAGUAAUAAUCAGAGCAAAGACUUAUGUAAUCCACACGGACGGUCAGACAAGCAGCAAUUGCAUGCGCACAAACAAGCUGAUCGAGUUGGAAUACUCUACAGGAGCUAGUUCUUUCAUGAAUGUCAACUAUCCCUUCCUUCGUACCUUCACCCAAAACAUGAAAUCGAUGCUGAGACACAGGCCGAAUGGUCAUUCUUUCGGCCAAAAUUCUCCUUUCCCCGACUAUCUCAUCUGCCUACGUCGUUAGACGAGUGCUCAUCGAUUCAGCCACAAUUUUCCUAUCAUAAAACCAUUGCUGUAAUAUUUUUCUAAAGUGAUUAACAAGAUGAGUUACAGGGAAUUUAUGUGGUUCCCUAAUUAAAGAAUUCACGCUUUCCGCAAUGUUGGUGGUAAGUAUAUUGUAUCUCCUACCUUUAAAUUCAAACCUUGCCCAAUUACACGUACCCAUAUUAUUCUCUAAGUAAUCAGCCACACCCGAGUGGAGCAUCCACAACCCUUCAAGUUGUCUUUUAAAUUCUUCGUGUCCAUAUGCAUUUGCUGCAUUAAUAAAGCCUGGCUCGAAUUGAUCCCAAAUAGCUUUGGACAUCCUAAAUUUAGACUUAAUGUUGCCUUUGACAUGGUAAAAAAAAACUCCAUAAGCAACAGUGUGAAAUGCUUUUAAAAUGGCUCUCUUGAUGGUAGUGCAUCGAUCAGAGAUAAAUACUAACUCUGUUCUAUCGCCAAUCACUCCGUGUAACUUCGUUAUAAACCAUUCCUAAGCAUCAUUGUUUUCUGAAUCCAUGACCCCAAUAGCUAACGAAUACAAUUGAUUAUUACCAUCCAGACAUGCUGCUAUAAACAUGCUUCCACGAUAUAGCCCCUUUAAAUGAGUGUCAUCUACAGUGAUCACAGGCCUAAUGUACUGCGUGAAGCCCUUGAUGGAAGAUCCAAGCGCAACAAAGUAAUAUAAGAAAUUAUCAUCUCCAUCCAGCUGGAGGUAUGUCACUGUGCCCUCAUUCGCUUUGGUCAAAACGUGAGAGUAUUUGGGAAGUAAGUUGUAUGACUUUGCAGGGUUCCCUCGUACUAUUUCAAGACCGACUUCUUUAGCCCGAUAUGCUUGCUGAUAUGUUAACUGGACCCCGUAUUCUUACUGCAUGUCUGCUCUAAUGUCAUUCGGCGUGUAUAUCCGUUUAGCUUGAAUAAAUUUAUCUGCAAUAAGAUGGCCAACAACCCGACUCUUAACUUGACAGAGGCCACUAGGCAAAACCUCAUUAGAGUACGUAUGAACAUUGUCAACUCUUCUCACUACCCAAGGAACAUUCUGCUCAUUCGAAUCUUUCGUUGCGCAAAGAUGCCAAUUACAUGAUUCCGAAGAACAGUUAGCCUUAAAGCGUGUCGUUAUGGACCGUGCAAUCUUGAAAUCAAACUUUUCCCGCAAGGACACUUUGUGCAAUUCCAGUAUUAACUCAUUCUACUCAGCGAAUAACUUUCCCACACCAAUGUCAGCAGAAUUACAGCUUCUAACUAAGUCUGGAGCAACCAAAUUUAAAGGCAAAACUGGAGCAAGACUCACCAGGGGAUUAACUGUUGUCCUCCUCCUCGAACGGGCCAUCAGAGGAAUAGGUCGGUUGUCUCUAUUGUUAAUAGGAAUAUCAUACUGAUGCUCAUCCUCAUCAUUGAUAGGAAUAUCGGAAUGACCAAUGCCUAUAUCAUCAACUUCAGUAUUGGAGUUCAUGCCUUGCACACUAUUGAACGGUUCCAAACAAGCAUUAUCAGCUUCUGUGUUUUUGGUGUCAUAACCAAGAUCAUCAUAACUGCGGAACUCAUUAUUGUGAAAUGGAGAGUAAUGUUGCCCUAACGAUGUCCCUAAUGGUAACACAUUUUCUUCAACAUCCGCUAACAUAAUGCCAUUAUCAUCAAUAGUGUCAUUGUUUUCGUUGACUGGUGAGUAACGUUGCUGGAACGACAUGUGUUGUGGUAACACAUCUUCCUAAAUAUCGGGGACAGACUAGUUUGCUCUAAACGAAGUUUCACUUUCCACAAGUGGCUCAGGAUUUUCGGCCGGAACUCGAGGAUAUGUGGUGACAAAUAUAGGGAGACAUCCAUAAUUGACCACAUCAGAGGCCAUGUGCAGUACAACAUUAACCAUUUCAUCAUUAAAUAUGUCCAUAGGUAGUGAACAUGCACGAUAUAUUGUGUUACUAGACCUCAAAGUUGUCUUCAUCAUCAAACUAUAUUCAUUAGGAUUUAUCUGUAAAACUUCAUACACCCUUGCCAGAAAUUGCUCAAACGUACAAUCUUUCCGAACUAAAAAUGUUGUAUUCUUCGCAUUCACGUACUCCGUACGGCCAUCUGCUAACGUCUCCUACCAACCGUCGUAACAUAAUUGAAGUACAACGAAAUCCAUUAAACUUAAAAAUUAUAAAAAAAAACAUAAGAGAUAAGAUUUCACGCUACAAAACCUAGUAAAGUGAAUAUGCAGUACAUUUAUGUGGAUGAAAUGAAGUAUACAAUUUUGGAUUUGCUUCGUCUCAUCGUAAGCUUCAAAACGAUAUAUUAUACGCCUAAAACGGACACAUCUAGCCCAAGUUAUUACUUUCGAAAAAUAGCUUAAAUUUAGUGAGACAGGCAGUGGGACAUGUGCCUGUCUCACAUAAAACCAGUGGGAACAAGUGAGACAGGCGCCUGUCUCACAUAAAACCAGUGGGUUUAUAUGUGCGACAGGCGCCUGUCCCACUUGCCCGUCACACAUAUUUUGGUGAGACAGGCAAGUGGGACAAGUGCCUAUCUCACAUAAAUCUGCUGGUUUUAUGUGAGACAGGCGUCUGUCUCACUUGUUCUGGGCUUUUGUUUUGCUCGAUUUUUUAGGGGUUUAAAUGAUUGAUCUUCAUUUCUCAACUCAAACUAACUAAUUUAACAAGUCACAUUAUUUUGUUAAUGAAAAAUAACAACGUUUGCAAUAAAAAACGCACUUCAAUUUCGAACUCAAAUGAUAAAAUCAAUAGAUUAAAAGUUUAAGUUAUGGUAAGAGUAUAAACUAACCUUAAGAAGCUCUCCAAUUGAUAAUUAUAUCUUCAAUUAUGUAAUGCUUGUUUGAUGAAAUUUGUUAAUUUAUUGAGAGUGAUGGAGUUUGUUGAGUGAUGAAGUUUGUUAAGUUGAAAAGAGAAAAGUGGUGGAAGUGUUGGAAUUGAAAAGGGAAAAGUGGCAUGCUUUGUAAAUUUGAUGAAAGUGAUGAGGGUAAUGUAGUACAAAAAUAGGGUGUUUGGCUAGUUAUGAUAGAAAAAACUUUGAGGGGUUAAAGUUGAAAAACGCUUAAUUUUUUUGGUUAUUUUUGUAAAUUUCCCUUAAGUCCAUUAAGAAAUUAAUGAUGUCACAUGGAUAUUUCAAGAAUUUUAGUUUAUUAAGCUGGAAGUAUUAUAAUAUUUACAAUUUUAUCAAUUGAUCAAUUUGGAUAAAUAAAACAACCAAUUGAUAAAAGUAUUAUCUCUUUGUGUAUGUUAACUUUAUUUUUUUAUUGAUUUGGAAGAUUAAACUUAUUUUCACAAUUUAGGGGUAAACCAGACUUUUAGUAUAAAUUCUAUUAAAAUUUUGUUAUUUUAGCAAGUAAAAUGUAAUAGUUGGAAUAUUAAACUGUAAAAAUAUAAUUAUUAAAAAAAUUUACUAAUAAAGUGAUAUAUUAGACGAAGUUAGGCGAUAAAGAGAUAACAUCCCUCUUAGGAAUUAAUUAUAUUAGUUUACAACCUUGUAAUCCUUUGUUAAGCAGCAAAGUUAAAUAUCUUUUAUUGAGUAUUUUUGUUUCCUAUUUAACACAUGCAAUCUUUAUUAAAUGAAUAAAGAUUUUUUUUAAAUAAAUAAAUAAAAGAGGAGCAAAGCCGAAAUCAAAAGAGUUAAAUUUCGUCGAGCCUCGUGUACUCAGUUUAGAAUUCUAAAUUCACAAGUCUAAUUAGGUUUAUAUUAUUAUUAUGAUAUUAGUUAGAAAGGCAGCUAGUAAGCAAGUCGAAUAAGACAGCUAUUAUUAUUAUUAUUAAGUUUUUUUGGCCUCCUGCCUUUCCUCUUAUGUGAACUUUGGUGAACGACUAAAGAAAGCAUCAGCUAAGCUUCUGAGUCUCAUCCAAAAAUUAUUGGUUUAUACCAAGAUUCCUAAUUGCUACCAUUUGAAUUGUUUUUCAACUUCUAGUUCUCAUAAUUUUGAGAACAAUGAAACAUGAAAAUAAUUGCUUUCUUUGGUGAUUGAUUGAUGUGAUUCUAUUUCAUUGGAUCAUUUUCUAUUUCAUUAUUAUUAUUAUUAUUAUUAUUAUUAUUGUGGUCGUCGUUUGUUUAGGUCACUUUGUAGUGUAGAUCCCGAUAAGUAAUGAAUUUUUUUGUCAUUUAUUCUUUUAGCAACUUUAAUAUUUUUCCUUAAGACUUUUCGUUUUCAGUGGAAACACGAGAUGCACGCGAGGUAGUUGUUAAUUUAGGAGUUGAGUUGAGUUUUUAUUGAGUAUUGAAUUAAUAUUUAUCAAAUAAAAGAAUAAAAGGAUAAAAUUGUAAAAUAAAUUCUUAUCAUUAAUAUAUUGUUCAGUAAAAAUUGAGUUGAAUAUUAAAUAUAGGUUAUAUUGUAACUUUCUUUUAAGUUAUAUAAUUUUAUAAUUAAAUCUAGAGUCGUGCUAAAUUACCGGGUGAGUAAUUUAUGACCCAAUCAUUUUGUGUAAAUAUGAAUAAUUAUAAGAGUGGAUCCGGGCUACAAGUUACUACUGAUGCUUUAUCUCAGCGAAAAGCCUUAAGUUUAAUUUUUUUGGGAUUAUUUUCUCCAUUUGGAUAACACCACUCGAACUUUAGUUGACUACGUGUCAACAUUUCAAUGGUAUCAUAUCAAAUUAUUAGCUGUGAAUAAUUGAGCGAGAAAACAUACGGAGCCACAACUUUUGCUUUUACGUGAACGUGAAUCAGAUUCUUGGAAGCUGUGAAGUGGGGACUGAUCGUUUAAAUUAUUUAAAGCCAGCAAUAAUUGAAGUUUUAUUUAUUUUUUAAAUGAGGCAAUAAUUGAUUAUUACUUUCGAAAGUUGUCAAUUUUCUCUCUAUAAUAAUUAAUAUAUAUUAUUUUUUUAUUAUUUUUAUAAUGGUAAAAAAUUUUCAUGACAGUAUAAGUUUAUAAUAUUACCCUUAUUUUUAACUAUUUUUUUAUUUAUAUUUAUUAUAAGUUAAAUAAAUCACAUGAAUAGAAACUAAAUAAAAAAUCAAAUAUGAAAAAUAAAAAAUAUAUGUUAUGAUAUGAGCAAAAAAAUUAAUAAUAAAUUUUUUUCUUGUACUUAUUUAUUUUGUGAAAAUUUUCUUAUAAUAAAUAUAUAAGAAAAUUAUUAUAAAAUGAUAAAAAAAUUAUUAUAAGAAAACUUGAAUGAAAAAUAAAAAUUUAUUAUAAGAUAAAUAAUAAAAUAUUUUACCUAUACUUUUUACAUUUAAUAAUUAUAAGAAAAAAAUUUUAUUAUUAUUUUUUUACUCAUAUCAAAAUAUAUAUUUCUUAUUUAAUUUCUAUUCAUGUAAUUUAUAAUAAAUAUAAAUAAAAAAAUAACUAAAAAUAAAGAUAAUAUUAUAAAUUUAUGGUGUUAGGAGGGAUUUUAAUAAUUAUAAAAAUAAUAAAAAAUACAUAAUAUAUUUUAAUUACUGUAAGAAAAAAAAUGGCAAUCCCCUUAUUACCUCCACCAAAGCUUUAUGAAAAGGGAGCUGCUACCUUGUUUUCCACGAGACGGCAUAAGACGAUCGCUCUUAAUUUUUAAAUGACUCAAGUUGACUUACCGUUGAACUGGAAGGACAUAAAGCGAAUGACCUUCUCAUUUUCCAUCUGCCACAAAAAUUUAUUUAAAAAAUAAGUGCAUAAACUAAGCCGGUCUUAACGUUUAAUUUUUAACCAAUAUAUAUAUAUAUAUAUAUAGAAAAAUGAUAUUUACAUUUCAAGGUUUAGGAAAAUAAUCACAAAAACUCUUGAGUUUUUAAUAAAGGACACCGAAAUUCAUUUAUGACUAUAAUACCCUUUGACUCUAUAAAUCUCUAAAAAAAUAACUCUAAAAUUUUAUAAUAAAUAAAAAUAUGGCAUUAAAAUAAAUGUAAUAAUAUAUAUAUUUCAAAAUAAUUUUAAUAUUUAAAAAUAUUUUAAUAUUUUUAAUCUAUUAGACCUCUUUUAUUAUAUUAAAGCAAUUUUUAAUAAUAAAUAGAAACAAAAUAUUAAAAUUAAAAUUAUUUUGGCUAUUAUGUAAAAGUUAAUUUUAAUAUUAUUAAUAGGGGGAUUUUUUUAAUUGUAAAAUCUAUUUAACCCAAAGAUUUAUUUAAAAUCUUUUUAAUAUUACAAUUAUAUUAUUAAAAUAAAUAUAAUAAUUUAAAAUUUUAAUAUUAUUUUAAAUGUAAAAAAAAUUAUUAUUAUUAGUCUACCAAAUAGAUUUAUAUUAUUUAUAUUAAAUUUGUGUUAAUUAAAAACUUUUAAAAUCAAUUUUUUAAUUACUAUAAUCAAAGGGUAUUAUGGGUAAAAAAGAGUUUUUGUAUCUUUUUUUUAAAACUUGAGAGUUUUUAUAACUAUUUUCUCAAAUUUGGGAAAUGUCAUUGUCCUUUUUCUUUUUUUAUACGAACUUGGAUCUCAGUUUUUUACAAGUAUUUAAAUAUUAGUACGUGAAAUGUAUUUUAAAAUAUCCAUCAAUUUAUUAUUUCUUAAAGUACCUUUUAUUAAUAAAUAGCAUAAUACACACGAAGGACCACUGAUAUUGAUGUUCAGACAUCCGAAUCAAUUUUCUUUAUGAGGAGUCUACGUCAUGAUUUUUAUGUCACGAAUUCUCCAAAAUAUGAUGUAUAUCUUGAUUUCUACCUUUUAUGAGGAGUCUAUGUCAUGAUUUCUACCUUUUAUUAAUAAAUAACAUAAUACACACGAAGAUAUGGGUGAUCGCGGAUCGGAUUUUAUGGAUUGGACAUUAAUCCAUAUCCGAUCUACGAUUUUACGGAUUAUAAAUUUUCAAUUCAAUCCAAUCUAUGGAUUGGUAAAAUUCAAUUCAAAUCCAAAUACAAUCCAUACAUUUGCAGAUCGGAUACGGAUUUGACCAAAUCCAUAUCCAAUUCAUCAUUUUACGGAUUAGUUUGCGGGCUAAAAAUUUUUAAUUCUGUCAAAUCCACAAACUAACUAAAUAAAAAAAAUUUAAUAUAAAAAUAAUUUUACUACCGAUCAAAUUUAAAAUUAAAUAAGAUUUCAAUAAAUUAAUUGUUUAAAUAAAGCUAGAAAAUAUAUUUAAAGUUUCAAAAGAUAGCACACUAAAACGAAAAAAAUCUUAUUUGUUUAGAUCGGUACAUUUUUUUUUUAUGCAAAUACCACUCUAUUGGUGGGGGGUUAGGUGGGACCCCUACUUGGCAUUUAGAACAGAUAAUGAAAAAUACAUGUGGAGGGAGACAUAAACCAAAACCUCCAAUCUAGAGAAAUAAAUAUAACAGUAAAAGAAAUGACUUAGGCAUAGCCUAACAUAAGAAGAAAAAGAGUAAUGCAGACGGUGACAAUAUCUCUUACGAUACUUGCGGCCAGCAAGUAAUUUAAUGUCAUUUUUCGAGUGACCGACAACGCUAAAAUCAGGGCUAGAGUCAAUUCUCUCAGAAUUCUCAGGAGCAGACAGAAAAUAUUCAUUAUUCGCCAAAUGUUCGUCAGAACUAUCAUCAUUAUCAAUAUGAGAAUUGUAAUGCCUAAAAUAUGUGCUGGAUGCUCGAUGAAGCUAUCUAUUAUACUCACUUGGUUCUCGGAUCCUAGAAUCAUGAGUCGUGACAUCCUGGCCAGUCGGCUCCUGAAUGGAAGUAGAGUUUGUAGCGUUAACUCGGUUCUCCGUAGGUACAAUUGGAGACCCCACAUCUGCAAUUUGCUUAGUGAUGGAAGGCUCAAGUUGUGGAGUAUCCAAGGGUUGUGGAGUAUCUGACGGCAGAAUUUCAGACCUUUUAUUAUUUACUCUGGUCUGUCAAUUCCCACUAGGUCGCUGGGGAAGGACCCCUGGAUUGGACACGAAACACAUCUCAAUGGUAUGGCCAAGGCGCUUGCAGGAAGCACAGUAGAGAGGGAUUUUCUAAAAAAUUACACUCUGCCAAAAUCCAGAAUCUCUCACACUGAUUCGUAUUCGUGGCAACGAAGGUUGAGUGACAUCAUACUCCAUUAACACCCUAGUUGCAGAAGGGCGAGCUAAAGAGGCAGUAGCUUGGUCAAUCCGUAAUGGCUUGCCAAUAGCUUAUGUAAUAGAAAAUAAUGCUUCCUUACAGUGCAUAAAGUGGACAAGCAAGUAAGGAAAUGAAAUCCAUACUGGAACUAUAGGGGACUCCUCGGAACAUCGAAAAUCGAUGGUCUAUUUAAAAAUUCUCAUGGCACUCUCAUUGAUGUACCAUGUCUAUCUAACCCGUAGGCGGGAGUAGUCCUCCUCAACAUCCAAUUGAAUUAACACAUGUCGAUUAUCUAAAAAGGACACCUUGGAAGUUCCCUUCAAUCUCAUAGUAUUAAAAAAAUUUUAAAUUAAUUCCAUACUAGGUCUAUUGUAGGAAAAUUUACCUACCAAUGUCAGCUUGAAAGGAAUAGCCAUCGCUUGAAUUUCAGCAGUGGAAAAUUGCACUUUAGGCUCUCCCUCGAAUGAAGUGGCAAUCUUGAUUAGAAUCGACGAGCUAGUUGGGCCGUUCAUAAUAUCCACCAAAGAUUUUUUAGUGGGUUUAUUUUGAUUCAGAUUAGGGAUGGAUUUCAAAACCGAGGCAUGAGAAGGUGCGGAUGUGGGCUGAGUGGUAUUUUAGAUUAGCAGAUUAUUUUGGGGGUUAUUUAAUAAGAUUGGAGAGGGCAUUCGGGAGGGCUGGGUGUUGGGGUUUAUUUCGAAAACAGAUUGGGCUUAGGUUUUGUUUGGGGGAAAAAUAAGAAAGAUAGUAGAACGCCACGUGUCGAAGAAUGAAAUAACUUCAGUGCAAUCCGAGGUACCCGACAUGAUUAGAGGUACCUCGCAUGAUUAGAAAUACCUGUCCUGAUUUGAGGUACCCGGCACCGUCAGAGGUACCCCGCAUAGACUGGGGUACCCUGUAUAAUUCGAGGUACCCGGAAUAACUCCAGCAUAAUUUAAGGUACCCGGCCUGAUUAGAGGUACCCUACAUAAUUAGAGGUACCCGGUGUGAUUAGAGGUACCCAGCCUGAUUAGAGGUACCCCGCGUGAUUAGUGGUACCCUGCGUGAUUAGAGGUACCCGGCCUGAUUAGAGGUACGCCGCAUGAUUAGAGGUACCCGGCGUGAUUAGAGGUACCCCGCAUGAUUAGAGGUACCCGGCGUAAUUAGAGGUCCCCGGCUUGAUUAGAGGUACCCUGCGCAAUUAGAGGUACCCGGCGUAAUUAGAAGUACCCUGCUUGAUUAGAGGUACCCCUCACAAUUAGAAGUACCCUACAUGAUACGAGGUACCCCACACAAAUAGAGGUACCCCGCACAAUUAGGGGUACCCCACAUAAAUUGAGGUACCCCACGUAACUCGAGGUACCCGGCAGAUCAGAUGCAAGAGAAUCCUCCAAAAAUAUCCGCCAUGAGAAACGUCUCCACCUCUUAAAAGAUAUUAUUCGAUUUUGUCAGAAUUAGGAAUCAAGAACUUCGUACCAAAAGGGGGGGGACAACCGCCUGCUACCUCUGUCAAAAGUAAAGGACACUGUCCCAAGGGCAGUGGUCCUCAGCCGUCUACCCGACAGUUACUGCAGAGGUACCCUGGACCACUCUCCAGCGCACGCCACGUUUCCAAAGGAUGAGAUACGCCGCGAACAUGCACAUAACGGCCCAAAAAUCAUAAAAAUGUAAAAGGACGUUAGCCAAAAGGAUACGCCACGUGAUAGCUGAGGUACUCCAUGUAUAAAGGUGCCUAGAUUUCAUUCUCCAAGAGUUUCUGACUCACCAAAAACACUCACACUCCAAAAUAGAGAUUUUCUUCAACCUUAAACUCUAAUUUACAGAGGGUUAGCCAGCUCUCUUUGCCAUAAAAGCUUAAGUUUGCUAACUUGAGCGUCGGAGUGUGAACGCCGGGGUACCCCGGUUUCACCUUUAACCUCUAUUUCACUGUUUUGCUGGCAUGUAGUUCAUUUUGAAGGACACCUCUCUUGGUUUUGACCUUUCACCAUUGUUACCACUCUCUCUCCCCUUCUCACCUCCCCCGAACUUCAGAUACACCGCACCGCACACAACAAACCAGUGAGGUACCCCAUCUCCCCCAAAAAUAUAAAUUCAUUGUUCAAGAUAGAUUUUGGCUUUUCCUACCUCAAAAUCAGUUGAAAACAGGUUUGACUAGUGGGAAAGGUUAAUGGGGCAUGGGAAGAGCUAGUGGGAGACACACAUAAGGAGCACAAUUCAUGUGCUAUCGAAAGUGUCUUAUGAGCAUGGGAAUUACACGCGUGUAGACUUUUAAGCUGGUGUUGGGUGGAUGUUUGCUGACCUUGGCUGGGUUCUGUGGUGGUUGCUUGCAUCUGACUUUCUGUUGACAGCUGCAGCUGGCCGUGAGCUUGUGAUUUGCAUGGGGUUUUUUGUCUUGUGGGAGUUGUUUGUGUAGGUGGUGAUUGUGGCUGGCUAGUGGUUCUAUCUUGGACCGAAUCUUGAGACAAAUGGCCAUGGAGUACGGGCUGGUUUUGAUGGUGUCUAGAGGCUGUGACAGCAGGAUGAACUCCCGAAUGGUGUGUGGUUUGUGUUGGCUACGGGCUAGAGGCUGGUGGCUGGUUGGUUUGAGAUGAAAACCCAUUCACCAAGUCUGGUGGUGAAAGCUUGGAGUUGGAUGUUGAAGAGGUGACGAUGGCGGUUGGAGAUGAUUGUUGAAGGGACGACGAUAGCGGUGUGUUUGCAGAAGUUGAGGGCUGUUGGGGUUGAGCUGGUGUUUGACUCCUAUAUUUUGAGCGAGUUUGCCUUUGGGAUCUCCUAAGAAAAGGAGGUUCAUUUCUGGAAGUGAGGGGAGGAGCCGGUGGUGGUUGGCUGCCAUUAUCGUCAACCGGCAAGAUAAGAAUCGACUUGUCUCCAGUAUUGGUUUCUUCCCCUUCUUCUAGUGAAUGGAGGGGUGAUUUUGCUACCUCACGGCAGCAUUCAUAGUCAUUAAUGCCACCAUUGAUUGCCAUUUCUUUUUGCUCACUUAUGGCAUUAGGUGUGAUUGAAGGUUGUUGAAGUUUCGAGAGGAUAGCAACAGUGGACAAUGGUGGUUGGUUUGCAUGGGGUUGGAUUUGAGAUGGAGGGUCUGCAUGAGAGUGGUUUGGUUUGAUUCGCGGUGAUGGCAACUGGACGUCCGGUGGCGGUUCAUUGGUGAAUUUUGGGGGUCGUCUAAAUGAUUUCUUAGGAGGGUUCAAACUCCUGAUAAUUUGUUCUUCUGCAGAGAGGGUGUAGACUGGCGGCGGCCGGUUGCCAUCAUCGGCGGCCGGAGAGGCCAUUAAGGCCGUUUAAGGCUUUUGAAGGGGGAAGGGGGAGACAUGUAGUUGAUAUUAGCAAUUAGAUCAGUACAUGGAAAUUAACUAUUUAAGAAGUUAUAUUUGUUUAUUUAGUUGUUUUUAUUUUAUAUUAUUAUUGGCUAAAAUAUAAUAUAGUGUUAAUGUAACUAUAUUUUAAUUUAUUUAUUUACUAGUAAAUACUAAUGUCAUAUUUACAAGUUUUAUUUUUUUAAUUAAAUAAAUACUUUUUAUUUUUUUGCGGAUUCGUGGAUUUUUGUGAAUUUACAGAAGUAAAUCCAUAUUCAAUCCAUCGAUUGCGGAUUAUCAAAUUUUCAAUCCAAUUCAAUCCACGGAUCGGAUUUCUACGGAUCAGACGGAUUGAGCGGAUCGAAUUGGAUUCUGAACACCUCUAUAUGAAGGACCACUGAUAUUGAUGUUCAUACAUCCGAAUCAAUUUUCUUUACGAGGAGUCUACGUCAUGAUUUCUACGUCACGAAUUCUCCAAAAUAUGAUGUCUCUCACUCUUAUUUAAGGCAAACCUCAUAGAGGCAAUCACAGAACAUGAAGAAAAUUAAUUUUGUUCCUAGUCCUCACUAUCUAAAGAGAAUUUUCGUUGAAGCUAUAUAUAUAUAUAUAUUGAAUCUUUUGAAAAAAAUUGCUUCCUGAGCAAAUGAUUUCUUGCUGGGUUUCUUCAAUUGCUCUUCUUGUUCAGUUGUUAAAACUUUCCAGUUUCCUCUCUGUAGUACAAAGAAUAUUUGAUCAUUGAAGUGCCACCUUCGUAGUGUUAAUUUCGGUGAUGGAGUCCGCUGCUCAAGUGAGGGAUGUCGAUGCUUUGUAUGAGCUAAUUCGACAUGAUCGAUAUUUUUUGGACAACUUUGACGAGAAAC